UAUUUGAAAAUGUUUCCUUCAAAAAUAAAAAUUAAAAAAAUCGGAAAUGUUAAAUUAAACAUUGUUAGAAAGUGCUUUCUUUCUAUUUUGAGGGAGUUUUGAAUGGUAGUGUGGGGUUGUCCAAUAUUUAGGGUAGCACUUUGGUGACAUUGUGGUCGGUGACAUUGACCAAUCACAAUGUCACGCGUGUACAAAAAAAAACUUGUGAAAGAGAGAGAAGAAAGUCACGUGUGACAUUGUGGUUGACAAUGUCACCAACCACAUUGUCCAAACUAAAUGCACCCUGCCACCCAAGUUUCUGCAUACUCUUAUGAUUGUGAUUAAGCUUUGUUGUGAGACUGGUUAUAAGAAAUUUGUUUGUUUUUCUAUCUUCAUGUAGUGCAUUUAGGCCUUUUUUGGUAGAGGUGAAAUUAGAGAUGAGAGAAAGAGGAACGAGAGAGUUAGCAGAGAAACACACAAUCUCUUCUGUUUGGUACAACGCAGAAAUUGAAGAGAGGGACUAAAUUUGUGUGGGACCCACUCAAAUUUGAGUCUCCUCAACUAUGCGAAGAAAGUGGCAGAGAGAGAGAGAGAGCAUGACUUUUUGGCCAUUCCAACUUUGCCCCUAUCUUCAACAAUUGUGGUUGUGUUUCAAACUUUGUUCUGCUACCAACACAACACAGUUCUGAGAUUGAAAAUAAAAUUGAUGUGGUCGACAUUGCUAUUUCACUUUAGAAUGUGAAAAAAUCAAUCAAUUUUUAAAUUGUUUGAGUGAAAUUUAAAAUUAAAAACAACCAAUUUGUUGUUGGAUAAAAUGAAAAGGAAGGUCUUGGUUGUAGGGUGGAAAGAGAUUCACCGACGAGAGAUGCAGCGGGAAGGUGGGGGGUGGUUGGUUCAUGAUAGAAGCUCAUGAGUUUUUUUACUAGUUGUGAAGUUUUUUUUUACUAAUGUAUUAAUUUUGCCAAAGGGUAUUUUUGUACUUUUCAAUAUAAUCAACUCUUCUCUCUUCUCUAUUUCUUUCAUUUCUCUUUUAUAUCAAAUAAUCCAUCAAAUCUACUCUAUUUCUCAUCUUUCUCUCUCUUCACAACUUCUCUUCUAAACAAAACACACCAUUAGUGUCAAAGGAAGUGUCGAGAUUUCAUCACCAUGCAAACCUCUUGGAGCUCAUUCGGAUGUAUUUGGAUAAGGAGUGAUUUAUUUCCAUUCACCAUAUUUUUCAAGAAGGAAACUCUUGCGUCGACAUACUUGCAAAACUAGGUGCUAAUCAUCAAGAGUCUCUCAUGAUGGUACAUCAACCAUUACCAUGUCUAUCCUCAGCCUUACUAAUUGAUGCUAUGAGAGUGCCCUUUAUUAUAAUGUAGUUUUUCUUUGCUUCUUUUUCUUUUGUUUUUUUUUUCCUUCUCUCAUGUAACCAAAAAAAGAAAGUGUUUUCUUAAUCCCAAGUUACAAUAAUAUAUAUUUUCGUAAACAAUAUAAUAUAUAUUGACACUUAAUUGAAAUAUUUUUGUACUAGAUCUAAUAAGUGAAUUAAUUGUUUACAAAGUUACUAUAUAUUAGUUAUGAAAAUUUAUCUAUAAAUAGAGAGUUCGCAUAGUGCAUUCUAUACACCAAAAAAGAUUUAUGAUAUUCAAAUCUUUUUUAUUCUCUUUUUCUUUUUGCCUUGUGUUGACAAGUCUUUUUUCUCUCUCUCUUUUCUUUUUGUCCCUACGCCAGAUUAUCUACGUUGUUGGAGGCAUCGUAUUGCUAGGUGUAUUGCACAACUUUAGGGGGGUGUAUUGGAUCAUGAUUCUAAGGGAUUUUAAAAGACUUUUUAUCAUGAAAAAGUCUUGUGGUAUUCAAUCAAGACUCUUUCCAAUUUAAAAAAAGUUUUGUGUUAUUCAAUCAAGAUUCUUUGUCAUUUAAAAAAAGUCUUGUGGUAUUCAAUCAAGACUCUUAAUCACUUAAAAAAAGUCUAGUGGUAUUCAAAAUCAUUCAAAUUUCGAAGGAUUGUUUAAUAAAUCAGAUUUUGAUGGAUUUUGUGGGAUUUUCUAGUGAAAUUUUAGCAUGAAAAAGUCUUUCAUGAAAACAUGAGAUUUCUUAGGAUUGUUUUUUUCUUUUAAGAUUUUACUAUCUCUCCCUCUCUCUCCUCCCUUCUCUCUUACUCUCUCUUUUCCUCUCCCCCCCUCUCUCUCUCUAGCUCUCCCGUAAAAAACCUCUCUCUCUCUCUCUCUCUCUCUCUCUCUCUCUCUGAUUCCUUCACUCUCUCUCUCUCUCUCUCUCUCUCUCUCUCUAGCUCUAGCUCUCCCGUAAAAAAUAAAAUAAAAUAAAUAAAAGAGUCUUUAUUGAGAUUUUGUGAAAGAGAGUGUGUUAUGAUAUUUUUUUCAAUUAUUUCUUAAAAUUCAUAAAAUCAGUUGAAAUCUCUUGAAAUCCAUAAAAUCAUUUCAAAUCCUUUAAAAUCUUAUGAAUUAAAUCCAUUGAAAUCCUUAUUAUUCUUUUAAAAUCAUCAAAGUCAUCAUAAUCUUGCAAAGUCUUUUAAAAUCCUCAAGACUUUUUUAAACAAAAAUUGUCCUUUAAAAUCCUAAUCCAAUAGACACCAACUCAACCCCGAUAAUCUCUUCAAAGGUAAAAUCCUUUUUCUAAAAUACAUUUUUAAAUUUCAAAAACAACAAACACAAAUUUAAUGUAAUAAGUCUGACUUUUAACAACCUAACACUAUUAGAAAAUUUUUAUUUUUAGAGAGGGGUUUAAAGUUCUGUUUAUAAUUACUUGUCCUUUCAAAAUUCAACGAAACUUUUAACUAUUAUUUUGUCAAUAAUGUUCGACUACUUAUUACUAAUACAGAAAAAAGAAACAAUUUUAUCAAAAAUAAUAAUCAUUACCACUCUUGACUAUUGACUUAUAACAAUCAUAACAAAUUCAAGUCGAUAGAAUUUUUCAUAUAAAAACAAACAUCAACAUUAUAAAAAGUAGCAAAAAAUCCCAAUCUAUUUGCUAACGGCAAUGGUUAAAGUAACCAAAAUUAAUAGUUUUAUAUUAAAAAUAAUAAUUUAUAAACUUUUUAUAAAUUGACUUGAUUACUUUUUAUCGUUUUCAACACAAAAUUUCUAUUUUUGUUCCUUUAUCCAAUGUUCCAAGAGCAAUGAUUAGCAUUUCCCUUUCUAAUUUGGUGAGUGGGCAACUAAGAUCCAACUUUGGAAAUAGAUGACAAUUUUUUUUUUUAAUAUUUAUUUGACCAAUGUAUGUAUUAUUAAAAUAUUUUAUAAUAUAAAACCAUGAGUCAAAUAGCAUAAUGACGUGUAGCAUGCAUCUUUGAUAAACUUUGAUUGAUUCAUUCAUUUAUGAAUCUUUGAUAAACUUUGAUUGAUUCAUUCAUUUAUGAAAAGCUGUCCCUCCUUCCCUAUGUCAAGGAAGCUUCUCUCCUUUCUUUUCCUGUGAAACCAAUGUGACUUUCAACUUUAAACUUAUAAAAUACACGGUUCUUGUUGACCUGUUCCACAUUAAGCUAUUUUUUUUGUCUUCUUUCUCUUGUCUAUCCUACACAAAAUAAUUGUAGUUUUAUACUUUUUUUUUUUUAUAGAUUAAGAAAAAAAUAAUUGACAAAAAUUAUAAAUGAGUAAGAAGGGUUUUCAAUUUUAUAAAAUAACCUUUUGUAAUUUAUAAUUUUAAUUAUAUAAUCUAAUAUAAUACUCUCCCCGUUUGACAACCUCGUUCGUAAAAUAAAUUAUCACAAAAUAAAUCAACCAUUUUCAAUCUUUAAUCUAAUAUGUUAAUCACAUUUCGUUACGACUUACAUCGCUAUCAUAUUUUAUCUUUUUUACUUGAUACAAAUAUUACUCUCGAUUUAAUAGAUUUUAAUUUGUAUUUAUAAUAAUAAUGAUAAAUACAUCGAUUACUUAAGAAAUACCCUUUAGUAAAAUAUUAUUCUCUAUCUAUUUGUAUAUUAUUUUAAUCUAGACUGGUCAAAUAAGUCACUUGUGGAUAAAGAAAAUAAUUUAAAAGUGACACGCAAAACUUUUUUAGAAAAAAAAAUAGGCACACGCUAAUGCAAAAUUAGGAAGAAUAAAUUUUUAGUACAAUUAGAAAAUAAUAACUAAUUUGCUAUGUAAAAAUUUUUAUUUUGAUUCUCUCAAAAAAAAAAUAUUUAUUUUGAGAAACUUUUUAAUGCUUUUCAUUUGACGCGUAAACUUUUUAAUGCUAAGAACAACAUUAAAUUUUUUCAUCAUAUAUAUAGGAAUAUUGGAAUAUUACUUGCCCACAAAGUUUUCUCAAAAUAAGGAAAAAAAAACUUCCACAAUCAACAUUCUUUCCUAUUUCAUAUAUUUUUUCCCUAUAAUUUCGUUAUAUUUUUAAUACCUCUUUCACACUCUUUGAAUCAAGCCUUAUAAUACUAAUAGCUUUAAUAUAUAUUUCUUCAUCAAAGUGUAUCAAACUUUGUUUUCUCUCUCUUUUUAGUUUUCACAUUCUCUUUAGAUUUAUGAUCAAAAGCUUUAUGUUUUUUUUUGUUUUUGUUUUGACUGAAUCAAUCUUUGUUAUUGCUUUUUAGUUGAAACAGUUGAAUUUGAGAAUCUGAAAAAAUGGGGUGUUUGUUAAGUAAAGACAAAGAUUCAGAACCAGAACACAACAAUGGUGGUUAUAGAUAUGGUGAACACAAUCAUAGAAACAAUCAUGAACAAGUCAACACAUCAAGAACAGCACCAACAAGUUCUUAUCAACCUCAAAUACCAACCAAGCCUUCAUCAAUUUCUGCUCCAAGUCCAAAACCUCUUAUCAAGCAAGACAGUAACACAAUCCUAGGAAAAGGUUUGGAAGAUGUGAAACAAUUCUACACACUAGGUAAAGAAUUAGGUAGAGGCCAAUUCGGAGUAACGUUUCUAUGCACCGAGAAUUCAACUGGAUUGCUUUAUGCUUGCAAGUCAAUUUCCAAGAGGAAACUUGUGAGUAAAUCUGAUAGGGAAGAUAUAAAGAGAGAGAUUCAGAUCAUGCAACAUUUGAGUGGUCAACCAAAUAUUGUUGAAUUUAAAGGAGCUUAUGAGGAUAGGAAUUCAGUUCAUGUUGUUAUGGAACUUUGUGCUGGUGGUGAACUUUUUGAUAGGAUCAUUGCUAAAGGACAUUAUAGUGAAAAAGCUGCUGCUUCUAUUUGUAGACAGAUUGUUAAUGUUGUUAAUAUUUGUCAUUUUAUGGGAGUUAUGCAUAGGGAUCUGAAACCAGAGAAUUUCUUGUUGGCUAGUAAAGAUGAAAAUGCACUUCUUAAGGCUACUGAUUUUGGUUUGUCUGUUUUCAUUGAAGAAGGUAAAGUUUUUUUGAUCCACUCAUUUGUCAUUUCAUAUUUUUUUUUAUCUUAAUUAUGUGGUCCUUACAAGAAAAGAGUCACGGUAAUCCAAAGUCCGGCUGAAAGUUAAGCUAAGUCGGGUCAAUAAUUGGGACCUGAGAGUGUGCUCCUCCUUAAGGUCUCAGGUUCGAUUCUCUCCAGUGCCAAUUUGAGGGGCUAAUUUAGCUUCUUCAAAAAAAUAAUUGUUCCAUCCAGAGUUCGAAUAAUAGUAUUUUUGGUUCCAAUUCCUAUAGCAAAUUUUAAUGGUUUAUAGUUCAUGUUUAACUAAUAUGUUAGCUUUAGAAAUUUUAAUAUAUGGUUGUUCAAGUUUCCUUUCUUAAAAGGGUGGGUGAGGGAGACUAGUUGGUCUGUUUGGAUUGACUUAUUUCAGUUUAUCUCCUGGCAUAAUCAUUUAUGAAAGUGCUUGUGAGAACUUAUGCAGACAGCAUAUGACAUGUCCGUCAUUUGUUUUCAGCUUAUUCUCAUAAGCUCUUCAGGAUAGCUUAUGAAAACAGCUUAUAGCGUAUAUGAAAACAGUUUUGACUUUAUUUGAUCUUUUUGUCAUAGAAAUAGAAAUAGCUUAUAUAUAAGCACUUAUAUGAUAAGCAUUAAUGCUAUAUCUAUCCAAGCAGUUACUAAAGUAGCUCUGUUGACCAUAGUUGUUGAUAGCUUUGUUUUGUCAGAAGCUGUCUUGGAUUUAGGUUGGAAUUAACUUCUGCCAGUUCAUUUACCAGUAGCUUCAUAUUAUUGUUCUUUUCUCUCCAUGUGUAUGCAAUUAUGACCAAUGAACUAUAAUAAUAUAUGCUUGAAAUGUGGAUAUAAAAUUCACACCAUGUAUAAUGUGAUGGGCCAUCUUGCAUUUAUGAGGGAUAAUCAGACUUUCUGAAAACUCAAUCUUAUGAAGCAAAAAAAAUCACAUUGUGCAUCCUAAUUCCUGAACAUGUUUUAUAAGCUGUCAAUGAUCUUGCAUUUCAUCAUUUUGUUUUAUGUAUUUCAUACAUCACACUCAUUGAGUUCUUAGGUUUCAUGAAAUUCUUAUGUAUUUCAUACAUAACUUUCAUCAGGAGUAGUGUGGAAAUGUUUAAAUUGAAAAGUGUAUUUAUUCCUUCAUGAGAUAAAGUUAUGUAAAUAUUAGGAAGUAAGAUUAUUACUUGUUGAGAAACUUUAUUUCCAUGAUUAUCUUUGAAAUGCUUUAAGCGCGCCCACUCACAGAUAUUUCUGACUCGAUAUAUGAAUAUCUUUUGAUUAUCUGAAAUAAAAGCAAGAUUAUGUACCUAAAUUUCUCCAACGAAUGCUUUUCAGGAAAGGUGUAUCGCGAUAUAGUCGGAAGUGCUUAUUAUGUUGCUCCAGAAGUUCUUCGUCGUAGAUGCGGGAAAGAAAUAGAUAUAUGGAGUGCAGGAGUUAUACUAUAUAUCUUACUUAGUGGUGUCCCUCCAUUUUGGGCUGGUAAACUAUGAUUUUUGAUUUUCAAACAAUAGAAGAAUUAUCAACUAGUACAAAAAAUUUAAAGCAUGUUUUUUAGGCUUAUCUAAUUUUGAUUAUCACAUAUUUUUCUGUAGAGACUGAAAAGGGAAUAUUUGAUGCAAUAUUGGAAGGUCAUAUUGAUUUUGAAAGUGAACCGUGGCCUAAAAUUUCAGACAGCGCCAAGGAUCUUGUUCGUAAAAUGCUUAUACAGGAACCGAAGAAACGCAUUACCGCUGCACAGGUUCUAGGUGUGUAAUUCUGAUAAUUGCAUGGAACUUCUAUUAUCAAUUAACAAAAAAUGCAUGAUUGCUUCUGUUAUUUCGCAGCGUAUUGAUUAUUUAUUUAAUUAUGAAGCACGGAUACGGACACGACACUGACACGCCGACACAACAAAUAAUUUGAAAAAAUGACAUAAUUCAGUGUAAUUACAAGUGUCGGUGUUGGACACGACACAUGUCUGACACCGGGACACGCCUAAUCCGAGGAGUGUCCGUGCUUCAUAGAUUACAAAUUUGCAUGUCAUUUAUAGAAAAAGAAAUGUAAUCACUACGCGUUUCUCAGUACAACUGUUGCUGAUAGAACAUUGUUUUAGCAUUCAUAUGAAUUUUCUUGGUUUGUGGAUUUUAUUUUCUUCACUAACUGAUUCAUAUGUUUUGCAUGAUGAUUAGAGCAUCCUUGGAUUAAAGAUGGUAAUGCUUCUGAUAAGCCAAUAGACAGUGCAGUUCUUUCAAGAAUGAAGCAAUUCAGAGCUAUGAAUAAACUAAAGAAACUUGCAUUGAAGGUAUGUCCAUCCAGAAUCUACAUUAAGAGAGACCAAAGUGAUCUUUCAUGUUUUUUUAUUUUUUUUUAUUUUUUAUUUUUUAUUUUUUUAUAGAUUGUAUACUAAAUAUCCCUUAGGCACUGUUUGGAUAAAAGGUUUAAUUAAGCGCUUAUCACUUAGGUGCUUUCGCAUAGGAAAUUCCUAUAACAAAAGAUAAAAUAGUCAAAUAAGCCAAUCCAAACAGGCUUUCCUGUUUGAAUAAACAGCUUAAUUAAGCGCUUAUAGUAUAAAGGCUUAUCAUUUAAGUGCUUAUGCCUAAGCUACUUCUAUAACAAAUGAUAAAAAUAAGUCAAACUGUUUUACAUAUGAGGUAUAAGCUGGUUUCAUAAGAAAUCCUAGGUUGCUUAUGUUAAAUAAGGCAAUCCAAACAAACUUAGUCUAUGGAUCCAUUUCAAACCAAGGCUAAUUUCAAGUCAUAGCUUCUUGAUAAUUCUGUUAAUGUUAAUCAAUGGUUACAAGUUUACAACAUAACCAUUAAAACAAUCACUCUUGUGAUCUGGUUAUGACUCUCAAUUUCACCAAUCUAUAUAUUUGAUCUCCCAAUUCAGAAACUCAAAGAAUUUACAAUAUUCUUCUAGGUGAUUGCUGAGAAUAUGUCCGAAGAAGAGAUCCGAGGUUUGAAGGCGAUGUUUACAAAUAUGGACACAGACAAUAGUGGUACAAUCACCUAUGAAGAACUAAAAGCAGGAUUACAAAGACUUGGCUCAAAGCUUUCAGAAGCUGAAGUUAAGCAACUCAUGGAAGCUGUAAGCUAUUCUUAAGUUUUGUCCACUAUUUCAUUUUUCUCACUUUUUGAAAAUUUUCCUAACUUACAUUUCUUGGAAUAAUAUUUAGGCUGAUGUAGAUGGAAAUGGCACAAUUGAUUGCAUUGAAUUCAUCACUGCUACAAUGCAUAGACACAAGUUAGAAAGAGAUGACCAUCUUUACAAGGCAUUCCAAUAUUUUGACAAAGACAGCAGUGGGUACGUCCUUCAUCUUGCAUUAGGCCGUUGAAUUUUUUAUUUAUUUACUAAUACCUGCCAAGACCCUGAAAAUAUCUCGAGUUUCACUUUACUACCUAACGAUACAUGUGAGUCGUAUCUCAAUUUGAUACUACUAUCUAGUGUGUAUCUAUUUAGACACGAAUCCCAUCUUGAAUCCCGAUUUGUUAUGACGGAUCCCGAUUCCCAUCAUAAACGAAUCCAGAUGCAUUCUAAUAAAUCACUACCUCAACUUAGUGUAGCCAUUUUAUGUCAACUUUGUAUAACAACAACUUUUCAUGUCAUUUGAUAUAUAACUUUAAUCUUGAAUUAUAUUGAGGUUCAUAUAUGAUGAUAUAUCAACUUAUAACUUUGUUUUGUCACUUGGUUUUAAUUAAAAAUGACAUAUUUUGUUGACAAUGUAUCUUACAAUUCAUACAAAGAUUUGAUUCACAAUUAAGAAAAAAGAUCUUCCAAUUAACAAUUUGAAUCUCAACUUUUUAAGCUUGCACGUGGUAUACAAUCUCGCUUUAGGCGUUACAUUUUGUUGGCUCAGUCCUAACUUGUUCUAUGUUUCAAGUUUGUUGUCAAGGUCAUGUCUGUCAAUUAAGUUCAUGUUUAAAUUGACGGUGACUUUGCCAAAAUCAUGCCUCAAAGUGUAGUUUCUGUCAAAAUCACAUUACACGUCUUGAUUCAGCCAAAUUCACUGCUGAUUCAAACAUGCACCAAGUGUCAUGCAUAUCCAAUGAAAAGACUAAUUGAUCCCAUUUGUAGGUUUAUUACAAGAGAUGAACUGGAAACAGCCAUGAAAGAAUAUGGUAUGGGAGAUGAUGCCACAAUCAAGGAAAUUAUAUCUGAAGUUGAUACAAUUAUAUCUGAAGUGGACACAGAUCAUGUAAGUCUAUUUUCUUGUGUUUGCUACAAUUUGUACUUUAGUUUCAUAGUUUAACCCUCAGUUUUGUUGGUCCACAGGAUGGUAGAAUCAACUAUGAAGAAUUCUGUGCAAUGAUGAGAAGUGGAAACCAACAGCAAGUUAAGCUAUUCUAAAGUACUUCUGAGAAGUGCUUCUAAAAUAUCAUAUCAUUGAUAGGCAUGUAAAGUUUUUGAUUUUGGAUUUUUUUUUCUGUUUCUUUUUCUUUCCAUAGACAAUUCAUUUUUGAGUCCUCUUCAAAUCUGUCUUGGACACCGGUUAUAGACAUAGCAAAGUUGAUACUUGAAUAAGAUUACGAUGAGUGGUUUAUAAGUCGCCUACUAAGGCCAUUUUUAAGGACAAAACUGUGAAGGUUCACAUAAGAGCUAAACAACGGUGCAGUAAACUCGAUGUUAUUUUUGUUAAGAUAUCGAUUUGAGACAAAUUGGAACUACUAUAACUUUAGUUCAUUAUUUGAUGUCAAACACAUUAUGCCACACCAAUAAUGCUAGGAGUUAAAUGGGUUGGAUUAUGAUAGACAAUGCCAUUGUAGGAACAUUGAAAGUGAGAUUUGUGUUUGCAAUAUUAGUUUGAAGGACAAAUUCAAUAGCUAUCUAAUUCAUGGUGAAUUGUAAAAAUCAAAACUUGUUUCCAAUUUAGAAUCUAUUACAGAUUCAUAGUGUUAUGCUCAGCGGGGUGGUGGUGAGGAUUGUGAUUGGGUUUAUCUACCUUCGAUAGAAAAUAAUGGUGAUAUUAUAUCUUGACUAUUACUUUUUUCAUCCUAUGGUUUAUUCAAGCAUUCUAUUUAUUUAUUUUCGAAAAUAUCCUUUGUUCGGAUUAUGAAAUCUGAAUCAUAUUGGAGGGAUUUUCGGAUUCUAAAAUUCGAAACAUACAAAAUAAAAGGAAAUGUGUUGUAAUUGGUAUCAAAGGUAUAUGACAUGUCAAAUAUUAAAAUCUCACGACUUAUAAAACAGAGGGAGAAUUUUAAUUUUGAAUAUACCAUCAAAGGCAUAGUAUUUUCCAACAAGAAUGCAUGAUGCACAUGCCUCUCUUUAAGUCUAAGUGAACUCAAUUUUAUUUAGUAAAAAUUUGAAUUGCAGAUUAUUUCUUAUCUUUGGAGCAUGCAUCACGUCCUAGAGAAUAAUUUCCUUUUUGGACGAGAGUUGCAACUUCAUGUCACGAAUGCCAAUGACUUGAAAGGUGUAGGAAUAUUCUAACAAUACUUUCUUAUUUUUAGCACUCGUGUAUGUUUUGAGCAUAGGUCAAUCUUAAUAGACAUGAAGUGAGGCGUUAAUAUUUGUUUAUCCACCAUUCACUUGAUCGACCAACUAGAUUGAUUUAACUAGUCAUAUUAGUGAAUUUUUCUUUGGUUAGGUUAGGUUGCGGGGUAGCACUUACCCGCUCAUAUACUUGCUAGACAUAUGAUCUUGUUUCUCACAAUUGCAUUAAAUAAACUGUGAACCAGUCAUUUCUUGAUGGUGGCUACUGAUUUGCAUUCUAGGACCUUUUUGGGUUCAUUUCUCUUGGAUGUUAGAGUUACUUACUCACAGUGCAGUUCUGAUUUUUGAAAACAAAUUUCAAAUGGAUUCUGAACAACGUAUGUGAAUUUCAUAGUGUUAUUGUUUAUAACAACAAUCACUUCAUCAUGUUCAUUCGAAAGAUGUAUUUCUAUAAGCUUUAUAUCCUUAUUGUAUUUGGGGACAAUAAAAACCGAGUCAAUAAUUUCUUCUAUAGACAUGGCAGAAGGAAAUGUCUUAAAAUUGAUGGAAUUCCAAUUAUUCUGUCUUAAAAUUAUUGGUUUUUAAAUUUCUAACCUGUUAUAUUUGGAUUUUCAAAGUCUAUUUUGAAAAAGAAUUUUCAUCUACUGAAGUUAUUACUUGGUUUAGGCAUGGCCAGGUCACUCUCUUUACGUUUGGUGGCACUGCUCAAAAUUGUGCAAGGCAGACUAUCAACCACACCACCUCUAGGAUAAAACAAGACCAACAAUAGUUGUGCGAUUAACUACUGCACUCUAGCCAACCGGUUGAGACUUACACCCGCAAAUAUGGCUAUUAAGGUCACUCAAAUUUAAUAAUGAAACCACUCUAAUAUGGUAUGUAACCAUUCUAUUAUGGUAUACCUUUAACUUCUCCAACUAUGGUACUAUGACCACUCAAAUAUUAUGCUACCACCAUUCUAUUACCUCUAACUUCUUCGAGGGAAGGAAAUAUCAAAAGAGACUAUACUCUUAAGGUCAUUCUGAAUUUUGAAGGGACAUUAUUCUUGAAAAGAAACUAUGAUCCUAAAAAUACUCUUUAUCUGAAGGGACUUGUAUUAUCGAAUCGACUAUGUUCUUAAGAUCAUUCUUAAUUUUGAAGUGACAUUAUAUCUCGAAAGAGACUAUGAUCUUAAGAACACUCUUAAUUUUGAAAGGACAUAAAAGAAAAGGGAAAAGUAGCUCUGAAAUACAUCGAGCAAAAAGAGGGAGAAUAAUGAAAGAGUUCUUGACAACUCAAUGGAACUCUUUGGUGUGUUUUUUUGAACAUAGUAGAAUCCCUUUAUUUAUAGAGACUUUGAAAUUGUAUUUGGUAAAGAUUGCGACAAUAGUUACUCUUAUGGAUAAGAUCAAAAGGAAACUAACCCAUUAAUGAGUUCAAAACCUCUUGUGGAUAAGAUCAAAAUGAAACAAACCCACAAAAGUGGAGGAAACAAACUAAUUGAAUAUGAACGAAGAAAAGAUAGAGAAUUCAGUUGGAUUAAUAUUCUUAUCACAACCAACAUAAACUAAGGAAAGUGAUAUCUUUAAAUCUUAUCACAUCAAAUAAUUUUUUUCUACAAUAAUGUUUUUUUUCAAGAAGGGGUACAAUAAUGUUCAUUUUAAUAGAAUAACAUAGAACAUUGAGUUUGUUAUAAUUUGAAAGUGACAAAUGUCUAUAUCUAUACUUUUAAUUAAAAUUAAACUUUCAUAAAAAAAAACACCGUUCAUAAUUUACAAAUGUUAGCACAAAAAAAAAUAUCGGAUAGAAAAAUCUUGAUUGAAACUUUACGCUAGUAAAAAAUAAUAAUUACUAUUAAUUUUACGAUUAUAAUAUCACAAUUUAAACGUUAUUAAUGUGUGUGUUCUAUUUUAUAUGGGACCUCACACUCAAUUUUUUUUUUUUAAUUCACACAACAAACAUUAGAUCAAAAUUUUUCAACCUUCCAAUUUCAUUCAAACUUCACAUCAAUGUUCCAACAAAUUCAAUUGCCUUGUGAUGUAUUAGCGAUUUAAAGUCAUAAUAGGUUAGGUCUAUCUACGUAUAGGUUUGGUUAUGCUCCCUAGGGGUGGACAUUGGGCGGGUUCAGGCUCGAAAGCUCGACCCAAGCCAACCCAUGGGUGAAGAUGUUACACCCAAUUCCGUCCAAUUUUCAAAUUCGGUGUUUACAGGUUGGGUUCGUGCAGGUCUCCGGUUAGCGGGUCUGUUAACACGGUUUGAAUUAAACAGAAAAUAUUGUGCAGAAGCUUAAAAAAAGCUUCAGCUCGGUAUAAGAAUGAAUGCUCACACCAUUAUGCAAAAAUGUAAAAUGAAAGAGAAGGAUUAAAGAAGAAAGAGGAGGUCACGUGCAUAUGUUUGUGUGUUGACUGAAGCAAUUGAAUUCAAUAAUAAUUAAUAAUUAUAAUAAAUAAUAAUGAAGGUACUAGCAUAGUCUAACCCACUCACUAUAAACUAGGUGUGUCAUUCUCCUAGGAGUAUCACAUAGUCUUGUCCAUUCACAUCACAAUUUAAUAUUUAAUUAAAUACAAUUAAUUAAUUGCAUGUCUGUUAGGACUGGUUCGGGGACUGAGGGGUUCAAUUUGUUCACCGAACUCGUAUGUGUUAACCCAUUCUAAAUCGUAAGAAUCUCGGAUACGAGAUACGAUACCGAUACGAUAAUGUAUUGAUAUGGAAAAAUUUCAAAAAAUAAGAUACAAUACGGCUAGGAUACGUUAAUAAAAAAAUUAUAUAAUUAAAUAUACAAUAUAAUUAUAACCAUUUUUUUAAUAUACAAAUAUAUUAACAAACAAAAGUAACCAGUUAUAUCUUUCAACAAAAAAAAAUAAAAUCAAUCAUAGGCUCGUAGCACAUCAACAUAAAUAUAAAUAAUAGUGAUGAUUAAGAGAGUGAUGAUUAGUCAAUUACAUACACAAUAUAUCCCAAAAGGAGCACCAUCAAUGAUAUACUAUAUCCAAAAUGAACAUUGUUAGUGUUAUACUAUGUCGAUCCAAAAAAGAAGCACUAUAUCCAUAAAAGAAUACAUCACUAUUCAAGAGUUAAGUUAUUUUAGUCAACAUUAAUUGGGAAAUAUUGGGGCAGGUAUCGAUGCAGGAUAAUUAUCGAAUACUUUUCUGAUAAGUAUCGGGAAGUAUCAGAUAAUUAUUUUUUUUAAAAAUAAAAUUUAAUCUUCAGAUAUUCUCUUGAUACGUAUUGGAAAGUAUCAAACAGGUAUCGGUACAAGAUACGCACGGGAUACGAUGCGUCAUCCAUUUUGAAGUAUCAAGGACUUCACAAAUAAUUAGUUAUGUCAGACCCCUAUAAAACCUUCUUAUUUUCUCUUUUUUGCCUCGGUUCAGGCGGGUUAUUCUAGGUUAAGGGUUUCUCUCCUCCUCUAUGCCCCCUUCAUUUUUUGUAUCUUCUCUUCUCUUUAAUUAAUAUACUUGGAUGUUACCUAAUCUAGGCACAUCUUUGCUUAAAAAAAAAGUUGUAUGUGAUUUUAAAUUUUAUGCAUUACAUAACUACAGGUGGCCCGCUUGUAACAAUUAGUCAAGUUCAGCCAUACCAUAUUUCUAGAGUUGUCAAAACGGGCUAGUUCAUAUGGGCCGGCUCGAAAGCCCAAAUAAAACGCAGGGUUUGGGCCUAAAAAUUGCAGCCCAUAUUUUAUCAGGUUUUUUAGCCUGGUUCGAAAAAGCCCGCGUAAUGGAAAUUACAGCUUUCUUACCGUCAAAAGGAGAGGAAAGAAUGUUCAUGGCUUUCAAUUGUACAUGACUUUCAGACCAGACUUUUAUUAUAUUAUGUAUGCGGUACCUUUAUGUUCAUGGCUCUCAAUUUUUUUUCAAUGUUAAAGGCACCCUUCAUUUCUUUUUCUGUUUUGAUUUUAAUUUUGUUUAUGUUUUGUAACAAUUUUGUGUAAGUUCCGAAAUUGUCAUGUUUUUUUUGUUUUGUUCGGAACCAUGAAACUUUAAACUGUUUUUUUUUUUUUUUUUUUAAGAUAAAAACUGUCAUAACUUGUACUAUAAUAUAUUGACAUAUACGAUCAAAUACAUUUUUUCUUCUUUACGGGAGGUUAGGACUUUUCAGUGGCCAUGAAAUCAUAAGACUUUCUAAAAUUUGGUUCAACAACUUUAAUCGCUUCAUUUAACUUGUUUGUAUUCUUUGACCUCUUAAUUACUGAAAUGAAUCAUCAGUGCCUUGGUUCCUUUUUGUUUUUUUCUUACGUUUGUGUUCAAUUAAAGGAUUUAAAAAAAAUAAAAAAUAAGGCGGGCUGGCCCGUUAGCCCGGGAGCCCGUAUAGGCCGGCUCAGGCUCAAUUAUUCCAGCCCUUAUUUAAAUAGGGUUUUUUAACCCGAUCCUAAAAAACCCGUUACCCGUUCAGCCCGACCCGAAAUGGGCCGGAUAGCCCGUUUUGACAGCUCUACAUAUUUCAACCUCAUUUUCAAAUACUCCAUUUAUAUAUAAACGCACCCAAUAUACAAAUCAAUCAAAAGUAACACAAAUCUUAUUAAUUGGUUUUUUAUUCAAUAGUUAUAUUGUUUCUUUCCUCUCGUGAUAGCUAACAAUUUAGCAUGGCUUUACUAUCCUCUUCAUCUCUAAUGUUCACUGUGCGAAGGUGCCAACCACAGCUGGUACCUCCAGCUGCACCCACUCCUCGUGAAUUUAAAAUACUAUCUGACAUAGAUGAUCAAAAAAGUCUCCGUUGCAAUAUUCUUCUCAUCUUUAUCUAUCAUCAUGAACCAUUAAUGACAAAGAAAGACCCUGUUAAGGUUCUUAGACAUGCACUCUCACAAGUACUUGUGCAUUACUAUCCAUUUGCGGGAAGGAUUAGGGAAGGAGUUGGACAAAAGUUAAUGGUGGAUUGUACUGGUGAGGGUGUCAUGUUCAUUGAAGCUGAAGCUAAUGUAACACUUGAUGACUUUGGUGACGGUUUGCAUCCCCCAUUCCCAUGCGUCGAUGAACUUCUAUACGAUGUUCCAGAUUCGGUACUAAAUAUUGAUCGUCCCAUUCGACUUAUACAGGUCAAGUUAUAUUAUUUCUCACAUCCUUUAAAUUUUACAGGCCUCACUUUUAACUUAAUCACCGUUUUUCUCAAUGGAGGAUUGAUAUCAUCAUAGUAUUUCAUACAACAAAAUUUAUUUUAUUUUUCACAAGUAAAAGUAUAUUACUCGGACUCUCGGAGUACGAGGGGUACACACUACAGUGUAUGAUUUUAAAGACUAGAUAGAACAACAAGAUUAAUGCGACUGAUUUUAUAAUUUAUUGACCAAUUUAAACUUUUGUUAAUUGAGAGAUUAGACUUUUAUAUUCCUACAAUUGGCUUGCAAUGUGUGGGCACGAAAUCAGACCCUGCAGAUACCUGCCUCAACUUUGCACAAAUUAUGAUGCAAAAAAUUACUUUCUCCGAUUACAUUUAUAAACAAAAAUGUACUCCCUCCGUUUUAAAAUGAGUGUCGCUUUAGUCAAUUGCACACAGAUUAAGAAAUUGAAUAAAAUAGUCAAAUGUCAUAGCAAUUUUACUAAAAUAACCUUACUUUAUAAGAAAAAUACAAACUUAAAGUUGUAUUGAAAAUUGUGUGAGAGAGAAAAGUUGGAGUAUUUAUUGAAGGUAAAGUUGGAAGAAAAAAAUUUAAAGUUGCAUUGAAAAUGUAAAGCGACAUUCAUUUUGAAACAAUUUUUUUGGCUAAAACGACACUCAUUUUGAAACGGAGGGAGUAUUUUUUAAGUUCAUUGAAUACAUAAUAUAUUUGAUUUAUAUAUUGACCAAAUACAUUAAGUAUUAAAUAAAUUUAAAAAAUAUUUUUUGUUCUUAUAAAUGUGACCAGAGGAAGUACUUUUGAUCAUGGUUUGGUUAGAAUCUUAUCCGUUAUUGUUGGGACCAUAUCUUAUCCGUUAUUGUAUUGUUGGGAUCAUGAUACCUGUUUGUUAAAUAUAAAGUAUUCAUUUUGUCCAAAAGAAAAAGUGUACACUUGUUAACUUCCAUAUGUUUUUAGGUUUGUCUAAAAUAACAACCAUAUAUUUAUAUAUAGGAUUUUGUUAAAAGCCACCCUGAAUAUGUCUUUUAGCAACCCACACUCCAAGGUGUGAUUUCCACUUUUUAGUUAUAACUUUGUUAAAAAACACCUUCAUAAAAAUUAAUUGGUGUCUUUUAACAAAUGCUCAUAGAAUAAAUUGCUAAAAGACACCUUCAUAAAAAGUGUCUUUAGUAAAACCCUAAAUAAUGAUUCUCUGGCAACAACGAUGUUUCUUGUUCCACACUGAAGAGCGAUUCUGGUGAUGAAUUUGAUAGAUCAAUUUUUGGAAUAUCAUUCCUAAUCAUUUUGUAUAUCAGUUGCAUAACAAUAACAAUGAACAAAUCUUCAAACUGGGCUUGGUUAUUUAUGGUAGAUGUUAUUUUUGCAUCUGUCAAAAUUGAGCUUUAUAUUUUAUGUUUCUCCACCUGAUUCAUGGCAAGGGAGUUAUAAAUAUUUGAUUUCUGCUCUUCCCUCUGCACAAAACACUCGUGCCCUGCAGUCUUGCCCAAAAUACCUUUGCGUUAGUUAACUAACGCAAGUGUAAAACUAUGCGAUAGUUAACUAACGCUGUGUCAAUUAAGAUGCACAUGUGUAAAACACUGCGUGAGUUAACUCACGCUCUACUGAUAUACCAGUACAACAUUUAAUGUUGUACUGAUAUGCAUUGAAUGCAAAUUGUGUAAUCAAUGACCCGUAACCUUAACACGCUCGUAAUUGAACCGAAUUACGCCAGUUUAACAAGAUUAUCGGAUCAUACGACAUAAUCGAUCCAAAUUACACAAAAACAUCGUUUUUCUCAUAAUCACAUAAUCACACGUAACGAUCCAAACGGUCCAAAUUACACAAAUUCACCGGUAAUGACCCGUAAUCACUUAAUCACAAUUAACGAUACGUAAACGAUCCAAAUUGCAUGAAUAUGCACUUUAAUUUCCCAAAUCACAUAACGGUCCAAAUAACCAAAAUUCACCGUUUUUCUCAAAAAGCACAUAACCACAUAUAAACGAUCCAAAUUACACAAAUCCGUCUUUAAUGACGCGUUAUCACUUAAUCGCACAUAAUGACACAUAAACGAUCCAAAUUACAUCAUUUUGUCCUUAAAUUCUCAAAACCACAAAAUCUACAUAAACGAUCCAAAUUACACAUAAACACAAAUUCAUUAAAAUUCAACAAUACAUACACAAAUUCGAACAAAUUACGAUAUUACACGUUAAUAAAUAUUACACUUCAAUGGAUCUGACGUAAAUAUGUAAAAGGUUAUUUUCAACCAUCACGCGAAACAUAUAAUCAACGUCGCUAUCAUCUUUGACUAGUUGUGGAAAAAACACGGUCUUCCAACGGUCCUCUUCAUUAUCCUCCCCCAAGUCCACGCCUGGUACUUGUACUACUACAUAAUAUGUUCUGUGAUUUGAACCAAUAUGGAUAAAGAAGUCGUCAAGUUUUGCCUUUUCGUCCAACUUGUCAGUGGGGUUUACAGUGAACCAAGCCCUCUUUUUCACAUCUACAUAACGGACAUGAAGUCUAACUGGAUCUUGUGCAUCUUCAGACAUGUUUCACUUCACAAAAUAUAAUGAAAAACAAAUAUGAGAUAAAAUAAAUAGUUGAAUAAUUAGAGACAAAGUAAUGAGAGCAAUAAUUGGUGUGACAUAACCGGCCACCAAAAAAAUAUUUCAUUUCAUAUAUUUAUAUAAUAUAUAAUAUUAGUUACAUAUUGGCCACAAAUCUCCAAAUUACAUAACCGGCCACCCAAAAAAAUGUUGGGGUGUAAUAUCACCAAAAAAUAGGACGAACAUCGACCGACCUAAAAGUGUCAUAAUCUAUAACCUAUCUAAGAAGUCUAUUGACAUUCCUAAAUUUCCCUCUUCUUCCAUGUCUUCCAUCACUUCAAAUUCUUGUUCUUUUUUUUUUUUCUUUCUUCGGAGUGGGAGUAUCAUCACAAACAAUUGGAUUGUGCUCAUUUGUUGGUUUCUUUGGCGGCUUCGGCUCCUUGGACAUGAGUUCAUUGAAAGCUUUUUUCUAUCCAAAAAUGCGAAAUGCCAAUUCUCCGCCUCACCAAUCUUGUUAUUAUUCCACUCCGUACAACUCGGUGGUAACAGACAACCUUCCUUCAAAAUAACAUGAAGAUAGUGGCCGGGUAUUAAGUAAAGACACAUGAUGUUGGAAUGUGGAUUAAAUGGAGGAGCACUUCGGAUUAGGAAAUAUAUCUCACAUGCACCACCCAUUUCGGGCAAAGUCAAUAGAACAAUGGCUCUUUUGUAGCAAGAAGCAAUAAUGCGACCCAUAUCCAGAGUGGUCAUCCACUUAUCUACCGGCGCAACACCAAUUGUAUAUUUUGGAGGGUAUAAACCAUUCGAGAUUUUGUUAUAACGCUCCUCCGUGUCAUAUAUCGGCAUGUAGCCACUCUUGUGAUUUUUCAACUCAUUAAUAAGUGCAUGACGAACCAAAACAUGAUCUUUCUCAUCCGUCCCCAAGUGCCUAGCUACCACCCAAAAUCCACAAUGACCAUCCCCUUUAACAUUUACAAUAUCUUCAACAAAAGGUCUCAUGAGAUUUGGAAUUUGUGAAAUGUAUGGGAUAUUCCAAAACGGAUUUGAAUUAGAGGAUGAAGCUUGUGAGCGGGAGUAAGUGCCAAGGCGUGCAUCUUUCCUCCUUAGAAGUGACCUCUUAGGUUGUGAACGUUGACUAUCCAAAUUUUGAGAGUCAAUAGUCUCCCACCUAGAGGGGAUUCGACCCGUUGAUGACACUUUGAGUGCAGUCCUGUUCCUUUUAGGUGCUCCCUUGGUUACCGCCUUUUUUGAAGGUGGAGACAAAAUUGUGGUUUCCGGAAAUGCUAUUUGACGCAUCAUCUCUUUGAUGUAGAGUUUCAUAUUGUAAGGGCUUGUCUUGAGACGUUCUUGAAUGCCAUUCCACUCUUCCAUCACGGAAAAAUCAUCAUCAAUCUCUUCUCCUUGUAGACUUAACCUUUCCAACGAGGGUAUAUAUCAUCCAAGACAAGAGGCAAUUUUUGGUUGCUCUUCAUGGCAAUAAUACACGCACAAGGUAACCUGUACGAUGUCUUUUGCACACACCCACAAUCUUCCUUAUCAAAGCCGAAUGUCUUGGAGCGUUUCAAUUCAUCAUAGAUAAGUUUCAAUGCGCUUCUAGAUACAUAACCCUCCAACUCUCUCAUCAUCUUGAUUUUUUUUGUAUUUGUGUUCCAAGACCGUUUUGUUCCUCCCAAAACUUCCUUGUAUCUCACCAAAUUGCACGACCAACAUCUUGUGAAUUUCAUCCCAACAUGAUGUGAAAUCACCCACGCUACUCCUCAAAUAUUUUUUCAACACUCCAUGAGCUGAUUCAACAAUGUUGGUGGUUCUACACCCUAGAUGCAAGACUUUAUUCGUCCAUGCCCUCACAAAUUUUUCCUUAAGGUUCAAAACCGUGGUUUCAACAUAUGUUAUGAAUUCCGGAAAUGGCAUGCAUACCUCUUUGAAUUUCAAUAAAUUACUUGCAUAUGAUUCCUCCGUAGGAGAUUCGACCAACUCUCUCCAAGAGAUCACGACUUUCUCAACAACCUCUCUAUUCUUCACCUUGUUCUUCUUCAAUUCUUUCUUUUCAACUUUUGCACUCUUAGGAGGCUUUGGGUGAACUUUACAAUCUGUGAUGCACUUAGCCCUUACAUUCUUCCCAAUAUGAAAAAAACGAAGCUUGGUGUAUGCUUCAGGUAAAACUGUGCCAAAGGAAUUCAUCAAAGUACCAUCCCUGUCGGUGAGAAUCACCUUAGGCAUGUUGUCUUUUGAGGACAAAAGACCUUUCAUCAUCGUAAAUGCCCAAUUAAAGUUAACCUCUAGUUCAAAGUGAAGAAAGGCGAAACCAACGGAAUACGUCAUUUUUGGAGAGGUGCAACCAACUAUCUCAAACAACGGCAUUCGGUAGCUGAUGGUUUUGUAUGUGGAGUCCAUGACCAAAACGGUCGAAAAAGUGUUGAGCAAUUUACUUGACUCCGGAUGAGCAAAAAAUAUGUCUUCAAGAGUGGUUUCCUCACUAUUGCAUCUUGUGUCAUAGACGUAUUUAUGCUCCACCAACUUCGAAAUCAAGUAUUGCAACUCGGUCAUGUUACCUCUUUCCCCCUUGCGCCAUCUUGUUCGCACAUUGUACACUUGCUUGAUAAUUGUCACACUUUCUUUGUUAUUUUGCUUCAAAUUAGUGAGAAUAUUCCGAGGCACCAUCAAGCUCUUUGUCAUGUCGAUAACUUUUUUCUUCUCCUCCGCACUAAGUCUACCUGCAAUAAGGUGUCCUUUUAACUUUUCCUCCAAGUCAUGGUUGUGCAUUCCACAAAGUAUUGCUAUCCACUAAUCAUUUUUAUCUUUAUCAAAUAAACCUUUCAACCUAAACGGACAAUUACAUUUCCUUGAGCCGAUGCCUUCAAGGUUUGGUUUCUUCCUCGUCUUAGGUGGCUUGUAUAUCCCACUCCUUUCACAUUGCAUCGUAAAGUACGACCUUUUUAAAACAGAUUUAUCUAUACAAACACCAAAUCCGGCUGUUACCCCUUGUCGACGAACCCAAGCAAGUAACUCUUCUUGCUCUCUCCAUCUUGCAUUUGUUGUAAAAAAUGAGGCGGUGUCGCGAGCUUCACAAACAACACCGAAAGGUACUGGUUUAGGUUCUUCAAUUUUACCAAUGCGAGCUUGAAUUGGAAUUUGGACUUUAAACGGUUUCACAUUAACGGUUGGUUUGACGUCGCUGGAAACUUCGCUAGAAGCUUCAUUUUUGGCUGGUUUCGGUUCAACGUCAUCACCCACGACAUUGUCAACCAUCUCACUAUAUAUCUAUUAAAUAAAAAAAGUGACAAAGGAAGAAUAAAUAAAUUACUUGUGAAACAAGCUAACGAAGAACAAAAGUGGCGCAAAAAAUUCAAAAAACAGGAUUGUACCGUGGCGUGACUUAAGUCACGCAACACAUUAACUCAUGGGUGACUUAAGUCACGCAUCCUUAACACUUGCGCAAGUUAACAUGCGCACAUAGCCCUACUGCCUAGGAAAACAGACGAACCAAGCACAAAAACCAUCAAAAUGAGAUGAGUUUUGAUGAUACAAUACCUGAUAUUUGGUGCUUGAUGAGCGUAGAAACUUGCUUCAUGACGAUUUACAAUGCUUUGGGAUGAGGAUUUUGACCCAAAAAUUCGCACUUUUUGGGUUUUUGAAGGUGGAGGGAAAGAAAAUGGUGCUUGGAGUAUGGACUUAUGGGUUUUGUACGAAAACAUUAACUCUGCGUGACUUAACUCACGCUGCGUGAGUUAAGUAGCGAAUCGUUACUUAAGUAGCGCAGGGGUAUAUUUGGAAAGGCCGCAUGGCACGAGUGUUUUGUGAAGGGGAAAGAGCAGAAAUCUAAAUAUUUUAUAAAUCAAUUCAAGUAAUUAAACAAACAUUCAACAUUUCACCAAAAAAAAAAAAAAAAACAAACAAACAUUCAAUAAGUUAAAAUCUAAUUUAUAAAUUGAUGUAUCAAAUUAAGGUAUGAAAUUCAAAUUAGGUAUGGAAGGAGGAUCCAAUUUUCAACUAGUUUAUACAAAAUCCAAUUUCCCAAAGUGAAAACCAAAUAAGCAGUCGGAGAAUCGCCGAUAUUAUUGAAUCAAUGAUGUUUUUCCAUGAGGGAAAAGGAUGCAGGGGGGAGGGAGGGAGAGAGAGAGAGAGAGAGAGAGAGAGAGAGAGAGAGAGAGAGAGAGNNNNNNNNNNNNNNNNNNNNNNNNNNNNNNNNNNNNNNNNNNNNNNNNNNNNNNNNNNNNNNNNNNNNNNNNNNNNNNNNNNNNNNNNNNNNNNNNNNNNNNNNNNNNNNNNNNNNNNNNNNNNNNNNNNNNNNNNNNNNNNNNNNNNNNNNGAGAGAGAGAGAGAGAGAGAGAGAGAGAGAGAGAGAGAGAGAGAGAGAGAGAGAGAGAGAGAGAGAGAGAGAGUCAGAAUAGUGUCAGAAUAGUGUCACGUGAGUUACUAGAGGGAAAACUCAAUAACAACCAUCAAGAUUAAUCUAAGGGCCAUUAUUUCACCCUCUCACCUCUCAUUAUAAAAUCUCCUCUUAUUUAAUACAUCCCCUAUAUGGAUGUGUGUGUGUGUGUCUAUAUAUAUAUAUAUAUAUAUAUAUAUAAUCAUGCGGUUAAAGGAGCUAUGAAUUCAAGUAUAUGACUUUGCUACUUUACAAGCAAGCUUGAGCUUGUCAUUAAGGGAGUUGAGGUUAGAUUACUCUAAUGUGGCGAGUCUUAUAUUAUCCCAUAAUGAAUCAGAGGUAAUUUAACUAUAAUGAUAAGUUGGAUUAAAUUUUGGAACAAAGGAGAUGGAGAUCACAUGUUUAAUGAAAGAGAUGAAGAAAUUUGACGUUCUUGAGAUGAAAAUGGUUACGGAUUGUAAUAAAAAAAACCUAACAAUGAGGCCUACAUCACUGUUGAAGAAUUGGGGGUAAUUUACUCGUAAACAAAUAUGAUUCAAUUUUGGAACGAAAAAGAUGGAUAUCACACGUUGAAUGAAGAAAAUGAAAAAGUUUGAUGUUUUUUUUUUUAUAUUAAAAUGGUAACUGAUUGUAAGAAGAAAGAUGAAGAAAAAAGGAAUUUUUUAUAAGAAUAAAUUACCUACAAUUCGUCAAGGAUAAUGUAGAAAAAACCGUUUAAUAUAUAACAACUUAGUAUUAAGGAACGAUGUUUACUUACAACUGUAAGUUGUUGUGUUAUGUCAGAUUUGACACGUGCUAAGUUCAGAGAAGUGAAUUUUGGAUGGGGUGAGGCGAAGUAUGGUGGAGUUGCAAAAGCUGGGGCUGGGGGUUUUCGUGGAGCAACCAUCAUUGUCCCACAUAAGAAUUCAAAACAAGAAAAAGGUUUAAUAUUACCAAUUUCUUUGCCUUAUGAAGAUAUGAAGAGGUUUGCUAAAGAGUUAGAUGAGAUGCUUGGUAACCAUCAUCCUACAACGAGAGGUCAUAGUUCUAUCACGUCCUCCCUGUAGUUUCUGAUGUUCAAGUAUAGAAGUAAUUGUUGUUUUCGAAUUUUCAAACUGUUGUAUUUGGAUUUCCAAAUUCUAUUAUCUAGCGAAGUUGUUACUAGGUUGAGUCACGACCAGGUCACUCUCUUUAAGACGUUUCGUGGCACUGCCCAAGAUUGUGCAAGGGAGACUAUCAACCACGCCGCCUCCAAGAUAAAACAAGUCCAGCUACAACUGUGCGGUUAACUACUGUACUGUAGAAAACUGUUCGAGAUUUACACCUUCAAAUAUAGUACUAAGACCACUCUUUAAUACUGAAACCACUUUAAUAUGGUAUUGUUACCACUCUGUUAUGGUGCUGAAACCACUAAAAUAUGGUGUUACCACCAUUCUAACUUUAAUUUCUCCAAAGUAUCAAUAUUGCACUACGACCACUCAAAUAUGGUGAUAUCGCCAUUUCAACUUUUUAAUUUCUCCUCAAUUUAAAUAUUGAAAGAAUAUUUAUAUUCCGUUAAGAUCAUUCUUAAUUCCGAAGGGACAUUAAACCGAAAAGGGACUAUGGUCUUAAGAACACUCUUAAUUCCGAAGGGACAAAAAAAAGGAGAUGAAGAGAAGAAAGACUCGUCAACACAAGUCAAGAAAGGGAGAAGAGAGAAAGAGUUUCCGCCAACUCAAUGAAACUCUUUGGUGUAAUUUUGGAACUGAGUGGAGUCCUCUAUUUAUAUCGAGAUUUUGUAACCGUUUUAGCAAAAAUUGCGACAACAGAUACUCUAAUGGAUAAGAUUAAAAUGGAGUUUAUCCAUUAAUCAGUUCAACAACACUUGUGGAUAGGAUCAAAAGAAACAAAUCCACAAAAGCAGAGGAAACAAACUAUUGGGUUUGAAUAAAGGAAAUAUAAGAAAUUUAAUUAAAUUCUUAUUCUUAUCACAACCACCAUAAGCUAAAUUUAUGGGAAGUGAUAUUCUCGAAUAAAAAUAAUAAUUACUAUUAUUUUUAUCAUUAUCAAGUAUUUAAAGUUAAAUACCGCAAUUUAAACACUACUAAUGUGUGUAUUCUAUUUUAUGUGGGACCCCCACACUCUAUUUUUUCAAUUCACACAACAUUAGAUCAAAGUAUAAUUACUUGGUGUUUAAUCUUCCAAUUUUUCUUCCAACAUCACACUAAUGUUCCAACAAUUCCCCACUUGAAUUGAAAAAAUGGUUUCGAUAAUAACGUCAAAACGUUUCUAUAAGUUUGCUAAUAAACAAAGGUGUCGCCUACAACUUGAACCUUUGCAUAGCGACUAAUAUUCCGAUUUAUAAGAGUUGCUUACAACAUUGAACUCUAUCUCAGACAUAGAACCCGCACACAAAUCUUUUCCUAAGGUAUAAUCUAAAAGCUCGUGCGUUUUUGGCCAUGCACGUCUAUCCCAGUUUUAGCGAAUGCUCUAGGUAUUCUGCCCCGAAUUCCAUAGAAACCGGCCUCAUAGUUCCACAUUCGUAUAGGUGAGUUUACCAAGAGUCUUCCUUGUAGUUUGUGAUGUUCAAGUAUAUAAUAAGUAAUUAAAUAAAUGCCAUUAAUUUAAAUAAAGUUGUGGGCUUAUGCACAAUAUCAUUAAAAGAAGGGUCAUGUUAACUGGUGCCUUCGGGGCACUGGUUAAGAAAGUAAAAAACAAAAAUUUUUACUUGAAAACAACAAAGUUUUGACUUUUAAAAAGUUGAACAUUCCACUUUUUUACAAUUUCCAAUGCAAAAUUGAUAUAUCAGUCUCCUUAACUAAUAUUCCGGAGACAUUAGUUAACAUUACACUUAAAAAAACAUCUUUUUGUUACUCUCAUGUAAUAAGCUAAAACUAUUACAAUAAUAACUAACAGGAGUAUGCGACUUAGCUAUGUGAAAGAGUUAUGUGUAAAACCAAGUUUUUAAUUAUUAAUUUAUUUUUUAGUCCUCUAUAAAUCACAUAGGCUAUUUUCGUUUUAGUCCUCUAUAAAUCACAUAGGCUAUUUUUGUUGGUGUAAGGCCUAGAGGAUAAUAAUUUUUGUGUAAAUUUAUAAAUCACAUAAGGGCAAUAUUAGGUAUUUGAGUCUGAAGUUUUACUAUGAAAUGAGAUGGUAGUAUGAUGUAGUGACUAUACGAUAAAUUGAUGAUCACAUCUCAUGAGUCAUGGAUAUAAAAUUAUCAAAUUUUUAUAUAGGUAUAAAUAUUAGGAGUAAUAGUUGUUCCUUGAUUGAGCCCCUGUGUAUGAGAUAAAUGAAUUGUUAUGCAUGUGUCAUAAAUUCUUCUCAUUUUGAUAGUCUGUUAUAUGACACAUGAGACUGAAGAGGACAAGGAGUGAUAGUCUAUGAACACUCUUUAGCUAUAAUAUAAUCAACCGGUAAAUUUGCACUAACGAACAUUCUUCAAUUUUUUUAUGUUCCGCUUUUAAAAUUGUAGCAGGUUGGUUUACGAUAGUUAGCUAGAAAAACAAAAAAUAAUGGCCCAAUUUUGGUUACUAUACUGAAAUUAAAAUUGAAAUUGAUUCUAUAAUUUAGGUUUUGGCUAUAAUAUCAUCUGGCUUUUUCUACUAAAAUUGAUUUUAUAUUAUUUAAAAUUGAAUUUUUUUUGUCUUACGGAUAUUGUGAGUCUAAGUCCAUCUCUAGUUGAUUCGUGAUCCCUCAAAUAUGUUUCAUAAGUUUAGCAACUUUAUUAAUUCGAUUAAAAAAAUUGAGUCGAGAUUGGUCCGUUGAAUUGCUUCAUACCCUCCAAGAAGGAAAUUUCUUGCUAAUUGUUUGGCAAAGUUGGAUGUUAGAAGUUAUGAGAGUAUGGUGGAUUCAUAUGCAGUGCAUUUGAUUUUGUCUUCUUCAUUAAUUGUUGAUUUUCUAGAAGUCUCUUUUGUCAUGUGUUAGUCUUUUUUAAUUUCUUUUUGUAUUUUCUAUCCUCUUGUAACUAAAUAUAUGUUAUAUCAAAAAUUUAUUUAAAUAAUCUCAUGUGUAACUUUCUGUAUGUGCACGCGCGUGUGUAUAUAUAAUAAUAGAUUGUUGAGUACAUUUAACAUUUUCUUAAAAAAGUUAAAAUUAAUAUUAUCUCACUUAUUUAACUAUAAAUUAUUUAUAUUCAUCUUUGUUUUUAUUUUUAAAUAAAAAAAAGAAGAAAACAUUAUGCAUCGAAAGCGUCAGAAAUUUAAUUUUAUUCCUCUAAGGUGCCAAUAUCCUACUGAUAUCUGUGACUUGUGAGUAUGGAAUAAUUUAGUUUUUAAAAGAUGAGUAUAGAAUUUAUUUAAAAAUUUAAAAUCCUCGUUUAGAAGAGAAAUAUAAAUUCAACUUUUUUAGUAUUAUGAUAUAUAUAUAUAUAUAUAUAUAUAUAUAUAAUUAUUUUUUGAUAUAAUUAUAACUUCAUUGUCCUUUACAUAAUUUUAUUUAUUGAAAAAAUUGUUGAAUCCACAAAGACAUUCAGUGUUGUUGUAAAAUUCCAGCAUUGUGCAAACAAUAAAAUUCAAGUAGGUUUUGGAUUUUAAAAUCCGAAGACAUUUAAUUAAAAAAAAAAAAAAAAACCCACAUAAUGAGUUUGGGCAAACAAUAAACUAAGCCAAGAAUUAGAUGAGUUGGUUGAAAAAUCACUUAGUUUAAGCACUAAGAGCUAAGAGCUUAUGCGCAUACUCUCAUAACUUCUAACAUUCAACUUUGCGCAUGGAGCUCUUUAGUAUGUUGGAUGUUAGAAGUUAUGCGAUUAAAAAAUUAAGACUGAUUUGACAGCACUAAGAGCUUAUGCGCAUGGAGCUCUUUAGGAUUGAAUUUUUUAGACCGCUCGCUUAGCAUGUAGGCUGGGGAUCAAAUUAAUAUACUCCAUGAAUUUAAGAGGUCUAACUAUAAGACCAUUUACGAUGGUUUCAAGUACUGCAACUGUCAUAUGGAUCGAAAAAAAAAAAGUAUUGCAACUGUCAUGUAUGCAAGACAGACCGAGGACCAAACCAACUCAAAGGGUAAGUUAGGGGAGUGCACUAAAAAAAUCCUUGAUGUUUGGUGGUAAAGAGCCAAAAGAUGGACACUAACAUAAAGGGUUGUGAGUUGUAACCACUGUUUUCAAAUAUGUAAUUCAGAUUAGAGCGGUGCUAUACGGCGCAACAGACCAUAUAACACGACAAAGCACGACAAACACGAUUGUAUGUAAUAGUUCAUUUUGGUCUUAUAAAAAUAACUUGAUUUAGUAGCUCUUCAUGAAGAAAAAAAAAUGUAGAUAGUUUUAUAGAAUGAUCCUUACGUUUAAGUUAUUUAAUUUGUUUUAAUUUUAUAUUUUUUUCCUUAAAACCCUAAAUCUUUUGGAUCAUUUUGACUGUACAAAAAAGGUUACUUACAUUAUGAGGUUUUUUAAGUUUAACAUUUUUAUUGGGUUUGUUCUUUUAGUUUUUUCAGUUUUAGAUUGAUUUUUUAUGUCGGUAAAAGUGUGCACCUAAUCCUUUAAGUCAUAAAAUGUAUAUACACCAUUAAUAUUUUUCCAUCAAACUCAAUUAAAAAAUAUUUAUGUAGACGUUUAUUGAAAAGUCGGUAAGUUUAAAUCAUAAGUGUAUUAUUCGUUAUUAAUUUGGAGAAAAAAUUAUAGAUUAAAUUUUUAAAAUGUUUAAAAAGAUGUAAGUAAUCAAUUUAUAGAUUAAAAUUUCUAAAACAUGAUUAAGAUUAAAUUGAAAAACAAUAAGAAGAAAAUGUAUGUAAGUAAUCAUGUUAUGUGUCAUAAACACUUUUUAAACAUUUUAUCUUAUGGGAGUAUUUAUUUAACAAAGUUGGAUGAAAAAGGGAUCAAUUUAUUAAAAAAAGAAAUUAAAGGACUAGCUUAUUCAUUUUUAUCAACAUAAAUGACCAUUUAAAAGCUAAAAAAUAUAAAAAGGAUUAAUCUAAUAUAAAUGUUAAAUUAAAGGACCCGAUGUGUAUUUACGGUUCAUUUGAUGCGCAGGAAGCAGGAUAGAGAGACAGAUAUCCAAAUCCGUUUGGUGCACCAAUAUGAUACGAUAAAUUAAACCCAUUAGUAAUCAUAUCCUAUCUAUCCUUUGUAAUUUUAAUCCUUGAUUUUUGGUGGGUUAACAACUUGAUAGGAUUUCUCAAACCCAUCCAUCGUACACAAGUCUUUCCUUCCCACAUAUUCAAUCUGUUAACUCCACCAAACUGACUUCUGUUUUCAACUUUUUUGUAAACGAUUCCUCCAAAAAAAAAAAACUUUUUUUAAUUGAUGAAUGAAUGAUACAAUUAAUCGAUGAUACAAUUACAACACAAAGUUUUCAUCUUUUUUUUAAUCAUUAAUCGAUGGCUAAAACCCAAUUGGAUGAUUGGUUAAUCACAUCAUCAUCAUCAUCGUGGCUUCUUAAUUUGAAAAUCCAAUUCCUUAUAUGGGUUAAUUAUCCCAAAUUGCAUCAUCAUCAUCUUUGCUUCUUGGUUGAAAAACCCAAUUGGUAAACCUCAUCAGUCAUCAUCAUCUUAGACUGAAACAGUGAAACCCAAUUGUUAUUGAACAUUAGUCCCCAUAGUCGAUGAUCGAAAUACUUCUGCAUAUUAUUAGUAUUAUUUUCUUAAUUUAUGUGUCUGAAAUGUUAAUCUUGAAUAUAUUAAUCUUUAAAAAAAUAUUUAUCUGUAUUUUUGUCAUUUAAAUAUAAUAUAAAAUUAUCAUGUCAAAAGCAAGGAUACACAAAACAUAUGAUAUGAUAAAAUAAUAAUAUCAUCUUUCUUAUCAUAUCUGCACCAAACACAUGAUAUGAUAAAUACAUAUCCUAUCAUUAUCCAACUCCUUAUCUAUCAUAUCUACGCACCACACGGACCCUUAGCUUAUAAAAAACAACACAUGCACACAAAAAAUAAAAGUUAACAAAUAAAAAACCAAAUCAAAAAGGAAACUUAAGUUGUUGUACAUUCGUGUUUGUCAAAUAGUGUCGUUAAUCAUUUAUCUUCAGAUUAUGACCUAGAAUAGGAUAGUAGAUGGUAAAUUGGAGGAUCGUAAAAUCCUACCAAAAUAGAUGAUCAUAACUCGGAGAAGGAUCAUAACCUCUAAAAUCAUAACCAAUUUCGUAAUAAUGACAAAUAAAUCAACCUAAAAAUUAAGAUUCAAAACUCAAACAGAGCUAAAUAGGAUGGAGAGAACUUUUGCAAUGGUAACAGUAGAAUAAGUGAUAUGUGGGAGUUCACAAGUGAGAGAGAAUGUGGGAAAACUCGCAUCACAUCUUUAUAUAAUAUGGGAGUAAUGGGACUAAUAAGUGCUUCAACUCUUCAAGACGGUGCUUUCAACUUUCCAUUAGUCGAACAUAGUAUAAAAGUAAAUCGAUUUGUUUUGUUAUUGCUAGUGCAAAACAACACGAUGAAGGCAAAACAAUGUGUUUUGUUCUAGAAAUUACAAAAAACAUCAUUCACUACAAUAUUGUUUUGACUAAAGGAGAGUUGAAGUCUCCCACUUUGGAAAGUUGAAACACUUAUCAAAAUUUUCCCUCUAUUCUCACUUCGAAACCAAUUUCUCCCGCUCUCUCACUUGAGAACACCCACAUACCAGUUAUUGGCUCUUUUAUUACCAUUGCAAAGGUUUUCUCACCUCAUUUUGUUCUAUAUGAACUUAUGUUGAAUUGUUUGAAUUUUGAAUCUUAAUCUCCAUGUUGGGUUAUUUGUCAUGAUUGUAUAUUUGGUUAUGGUUUUAGAGUUUACGAUCCUACGGUUUUGGAUUACGAUCCUUCUCCCAGUUAUGAUUUUCUGUUUUGAUAGGAUCUUACGAUCCAUGCUACGAUUCUCUAGAGCUACAAUCCAUGACCUUCCUUCCUCUCCUAAUCUGAAUUAUGUGUUUCACAAGAUUGUCAUGGACACCAAUCAUAAACUCUCAUAUGUGAAAAAUAAGUGUUUCCCGUUUGGCUAGCAACCAACACUCAACUUUUACCCACCUACCAGUAAUUUAUGCACGGUAAUAAGGAACUAAAAUCAAAUGUCAUAAAAGACUACCGCAAUACAUGAGCUGAUAACCGAUAGUGGCAUGUACUAACAAAAUACAUGACAUCCAAGCACAAACAAAAGAGUUCAGUUUUGAGUAAUAAGAGUUGCAACUUGCAAGCUUGAAAUUAUAAAGCAUGCUAACUGAAAUAAUCACAACAAUAUGCUCACUGUAAAAGAGUAGAGUGUAUAUGCGCUCGAAAUAGCCAAAUGCUAAGUUGCAACAAAUUUUCAAAAUGGUCAAGGGAAACAAGUUAAAAAGAACAAAUGAGUCCUUCGAAUAUGUAGCAAAAAAGAUUAUUACACAUUUCACUAAAAAAGUGUCACUCACCUUUGAUUAUUAUCAAAUACUCCCUCUUUGCAUUUUUAUAAGCACUCAUUAAAUUUUUCCCUCUUUGUUUUGGCUUGUGAUUCAUGAUGCAAUUGUCAGAAAUUUACUGAAGCAAAGGAUGAUUGGAAAGCAACAAUGUACAAUCUGAUGGUAAAUAGGCCUGAGUUAAAAUGUUUGCUCGUUUUUGGUGAAUACACAUGAGGAAGCUAGUAAAAAUACAGCCUCACUAGAUUGCAAUUACAAAUUACAAUGUGUCGGAGUCCUAGUUUAUUAGCUUUCUAUGGGUUGAUGUGCCAUAUAUUGUUGAGGAGCGGCUUGAUAUGUUUCGAUCAUUUUUUUGCCUUGAGAGUGUAUUAAGGUUGAACUCUUUUUGGUUUAUUCCAUGAGUAUCUUGUGCUUAGAAUAGAGUUUUCACCUUAGUGACGCCUUGCUGUCUAGGAAUGAUUUUGGAUUUGUGUUUCAUAUCAGCCAAAGCAUCUUUUGAGUUCAACAUUACAACAAUCUAACAUAAUUACAAAACAUUGACACAGUCUUUUAUAGUUCCUUAAACAAUUUCAUCCUAUUAAUGAACAUCUUUGAGUCACCAAACUCAAAGAAGCUUGUAAAUGGUGCCAAAUUAAUAAAAUGAAACUUUAAUGAUUAUAUAGUAACUCCGCCAAUUCUAAGAGCACAAACAAGUGGAUUGAAGAGAGUUGAGGCCUCUUCAAAGUUCACACACGUAAUCGAUACCGUUAAACAACACACAAAAAGAAGUUGUAUAUGUCUCUGAGCUACCCAAAACUGUCAAGGGCCAUUAUCUAAGACACUUCUUUUGGUGGGUUGAUUAACUACAUCGACAACGCUAUGAGCAAGAAGGACGUAAAACAACAUAUCUUAAUGCCCUUUUUUGGACUUUCAAACAUAGAAAUUUUAACAUAAUUACUUAAUUUUCCUUGUUAAUAUGAGAAUGAGAAAGUGAAUAGAAAAAAAAGAGAGAAAACUUAAGGGGAAGUGAGAACAAGAGUGAUAUUUGGAAAACUGAGUGAAUAGAGGGAUGAAAAUGAAACUAUGUUGAUAACUUAUAACAUAGAAGAUAGGAACGUGAUUCUGGAUUUUGAAUGGAAAAUGGUUUAUUAAUCAGGUGUAGGCUAUGGUAGAAUAAGGUUUACAUAGUGCUAGUUUAUAUAAAGGAUUGUUGCCAAAUUGUUGGUAUAUACUACAUUGUACAAGUGCAAUGGCACGAUAUAUGCAUGUGAGACUGAAGAUCAGACCAGUCAAAGGGUAGUUGGGAGAUACCCUGUAUUUUGAAAGUAGUUGGGAGAGAGUGCUGAAAAAGUUCUGCUAUAGGAGGGAAUUGAAAAAGGAGGGAAACUAACACAAAGAAGGUUUUGAUUGAUACUCAGAAUAGCUAACCCUCCUCAACAUUUUUACAUUCUCAUUUUUUUUUUAUCUUGUGUUAUUUUAACAUUCUUGGAAACUAGUGCAGAUAUCCGAAGUUGUAUGAGUUAGACAUAUAUAUUAAUUUUUGAAAUGUUAAUUCUCAUCUUUAAAUGAAAUAAUUUUAAUUUGUAAAUAAAAAAUACCAAAAAAAUCAUUAACCAAUAUAUCAUAUUAAUUUUUUUGAACAAGAAAAAAUGGAAUACCAUUAUUGAUAAUCUUUUUAAGCACAAGAUGUGUCAAAUAUGAUUAUAAAAAGAUACAACCAGGCAUCAAAAGUUCUAUAACAACAAAAACAAGAAAAGCACAACCAACUAAAUGACCUAAAAAAUGCAAUGACAGAGAUGAAGUCUCCAAAAAUGGUAUUCAAAAUCAGAAGUAUCAUAUUUUGAUUUCAACCACCAAUAAGUUUGAAGCUUAAUCUUCUCGCAUAAUGCGUGUAAAGUUUCCUCCUUAUGGUGAAAAAUAUGAUGAUUGCGCUUUUUUCAAAUUAUCCAUACCGUAGAAAUCCAAACAAUAUUCAACAGCAUAUGACACCUAUUCGCAAAACCACCCAAAGCACCAAAUUGCAUCUGAGGCUCAUCAAAUAAAUGUGUCCCACUAAUACCAAACCUAACAAAUUUACUACCAAAGACCAUAAUCUGCCUAAAAAUUCACAUCUAACAAAUAAGUGAUUCAUAUCUUUAUCCAUACCGCAUCCUCGUUGUUAUUAAGGACUCUCCUCCAAAGCAAGUUAUCUUUAAUCGCAUCCGAUUAAGAAGCAGACGUUAAACAAACAAAGAAACUUUUAGCGGCACCCCUUUUAGAGUUCUUGAAUUUCAGAACCACGUGUCAAGCAUUUGUCUUACUAAUACUUGCACAAGUCUUCGUACAAAAGUUUUUUUUUACUUAAACAAUGUCUCAGGUUCAAACUUACAUACUCGCAUAUUAAAUAUCAAGGUAGCAUAUGAAAUGUACCUACCAAAACAGAAGUGCAACACAUUUAUUUUAAUCUACAAUUUUCAUUUGGAGUCGAAUAAAUGUUGUGUUCAUGAAAAAAUAAAUGGGUGUGGACUGUGGAGUACCCAUACGUAAGACCAACAAAUCUAUUUUUUUGAGGGAUAGACCAACAAAUCUAUUGGUAAUUGUAAUAAUAGAACAUGUGAAUCUCACGCUUUCACUCCAAUUUUCAAUUACCAUAACAUUCCAACGUCCUAAUACUAAAUACCACUACUCCGAUCCUUUUUUCUCGAAUCCAUUCAAUUGUUCAAAGAAUAAGAAAGACAAAAUCACACACAACACGGACACAAACAUCGUACAAACAAUGUCAAUGACGACAACAAGUACAAAGGAAUCGAAGGUGCACGAUGCUGCACAUAAUCGUUUAGCCACCCUCAUAGCUCACUUGCUUCCUCCCUCCACAACCUCCUCCUCCGCACUCAUCCAACCUCUCCACCUUUCCGCUUCCUCUAGAAUCUCCCCUCCAUUGAAUCUCAAAGGAACCCUCACCAUUGUCGAUGAUCGAACCGGGAAGAAAUAUAACAUUGAGGUGUUUCCUGAUGGGACUAUCAAAUCUAAUGAUUUUAAGAAUGUGAUGGAUGUCUCUGCUUUAUUUCCAAAUUGGCUAUCGGAAUCGUCAUCAAUUUUGUUUUUUGCUUGUUGGUUAGGAUAUGAGAAAGUUGUGUUGUGUUGAUGAAUUUUCAAUUGUAGAUUUGGCACUCUAAAUGAUUUUGAUUUGAUGAAUUUGGCCUGUUUAAUUUUGCUCCUUUAUGUUUCACUUAAUUGUUUGAAAAAUGGCGUUGUUUCUAGUUUACGUUCUAAAUUGUAAAUUUUAUGAAGAAUUGUUUUGUAAAACAAUGACUAUUGAGAUGUAAUGAAAAUUCUUAUGUCAUGUUUUUGUUUUUAGUUAGUACUUACUUUCUUGACUUUUUUUAAAGCAAGAGUGAUACAAAAUGUACCAAUCAAAUUCAUUGAAAUUGAAAUAAAGAGGAAACAAUGCAAGAAAGAAAGGGGGACUCAGCCAAAACUUUUUCAAAAGCUUACAAAUCUAAAGUUUGGUAGACCUAAUCAAUUCAUAAUGUAAUCAUUUCUAACUACAUCAGAUAUAUCAUUCUACCUUGCAAAAGAGGAGAUGGAUAGGCCUAAAUUUUCUUAACUAUCAGCACAAAAUUCACCUUCUCUCUAUAUAUGUGAGUAACCAUGAAAUUGAUAUUGUUGAUCAGAGCUAAACAAUUAAGCUAUAUGUUUCUUAUGUUUCAAGGAACCAGUGAGCAGAUUUGAAAGUCAUCACAACAAUCCACAAGUUUCUCCUGUCUUUGUUGUUAACAUUUUUUUUAAUUUUACCUUCAAAAAUUUAUUAGAAAAUGAGAAAAGUACAAAGAAUACUUAACCCUUAAUUCAAGAAAAGAUAAUGGUGAGAUGGGAUUUAGAAAUCCCAUAAUUUUUUAAUAAAGUCAUGUUGCCGAAACAAGUUGAAGAGUUGACUAAUUCAAAUUUCCUUAUUGCGAGCUGUUGGAAGUUAAAUAUUUUCCUACUAAAGUGUAGUUAAAUAAUAUCAUUUGGUUAAUGAGUUCAUCAAAGACAAAUCAUUUAGGCAAAUCCGAGUUCUAUUAUUUGGUGGAACAAUUUUUAGCCAAGUUUUACUCAUCCCCCGACCGAACUUCGUAGUUCCAAACCCAUUUUUUCUAGGAACCAAAUGAUUAACGGAAAAAAAAUGCUUGUGUUGGUAAUUUAUGUAUAUGUGCAUGGAGAAGUAUACAUCAUGCUAGUUAGGUUAUAAGCAAGGAAGCUAUUGGAAACAUAGAAAUUUUUUUUUGUUAAAUAAUCUCUUCCAUUGAAUCGUUGUUAAACAAUUUUUUUUCUGGGUGGUGGGAGUGAGGAACAUAGGAAAAUAAUUUGUAUUGGUUGGAAUUUUGUUUGUAUGAGGAAGGAGUAUGGUGGGUUGGGGGUUAGGAGGUUGAGAGUUUAACACCGCAUUAUUGGGGAAAUGGUGUUGGCGUUUGUUAAUUGAUAGGGAAGGUUUGUGGCGUAAGGUGUUGGUAGCUAGGUAUGCUGCGGAGGAUGGAGGUUUGGAAGAUGGGGGUUGGAGUUAUUCUUCUUGGUGGAGGGAGAUAGUGAGAAUUAGAUAUGGGUAGGGGGAAAUGGUGAGGGGUAGUUUGCGGCCUGUGUCAGGAGGAGGGUGGGGGACGGGGCUGAAACUUAUUUUUGGCGUGACUGUUGGUGUGGUGAUGUUUCUUUUCGUGAGCGAUUUCAUCGUCUAUACGACUUGGCUGUCCAAAAAGCAAUCACGGUUAGGAACAUGUUCUUGUUGGGGUGGAAUGAUGGUGGGGAGGUGUGUCCGUAGUGUCGCCAUUUGGGGGCGUGGGAGGAAGAGUUGGUAGAGAAGUGUAGGGAAUUAAUGCUUAAUAUUUCUUUGCAGGAUACAUCUACUGAUAUGUGGCAGUGGCUUUUGGACCGAGUGGGGGUUGCUCCGUUCGUGGUGUUUAUGACAUGCUGACAUCCCAUGAGCAUCCUCAUUUACAUCAAAAUAUGGAAUUAAUUUGGCAUAAGAAGGUCCAUUUGAAAGUAUUUAUUUUUCCUUGGCGACUGCUAAUGGAACGAUUACCUACAAAAUCAAAUUUGGCUAUUCGCGACAUUAUCUUUUCAGAAGCGUAGUUGUGGUCACGUCGAGGACACUACACAUUUGUUCCUGUCGUGUCCAACUCUUUGUGCUAUUUGGUCGUUGGUGCGAGUGUGGUUUGGCUAUGAUGGCGCGGACUCCCAGGUUAUUUCAGAUCACUUCUUGCAAUUUAUUAGUUAUGCAGAUGGUCUGAAAUCGCGGCGCUCCCUUUUUCAUUUGAUAUGGUUCUUGUGUCUUUGGGUCUUGUGGAAUUAAAGCAAUAGUAGGUGAUUUAAUAACCAACAAAGCUCUAUCACGCAUCUGUUAGAUAAAGUAAAGUCAUACUCUUUGUGGUGGCUGAAAGCCAGUAAGACUGCCUUUGUUUUCGGCACUCAUUUGUGGUGGUCGAGCCCACUUAUGUGUUUGGGCAUCGGCUAGAUUUUUAUGUAUUUUUUACAGACAUUUUUUAUUUUUCGUGAUUUCUUUCGCACGCCUUGUACUGGGCGAUUGCGUUGUCAGUGUUAAUAUAAUUCAUUUUUGACUUGUUCAAAACAAAAAAAAAAACAACAAAAAAAAAACCUAUUGGAAAAUUCGCAAUGGGAUAUCAACUAGGAUUUCUAAUGACAAUUGGUUGCCUUGUUAAAAAGAUUAAAAACUCUAACUCGGAGACAUAGCCUAUGUGUUUAGGGUUAGAGACUUUUAUGAUAAGAACAUUAAGAGGAUGAUAUGAUCAUGUGAUGGGUACUAUUGAUGUUAUAGGUUAAAGUAUGCUGCCAUUUUAUAAAACAUGGUAGAGAUGAGAAUCGUAGUUCUCUAAUCACUAACAUAACAACUGUAAAAACAUAUGGAAAAGUGUGUAUAAACUAUAAACUAUCCCCAUGGACAUCAAGCGUUAUUGUAGCAUAUUCUAAAAGAAACAUAUCUUGCUCUAAUUUCUUCCCUAUAUGCUUAAACACUCUAAAACUAUUGUCCAUAGUUUUAGAAAUUAUGAUCGAGCAACCCAAAUUUGGUUUGGGUCCCCCUAUUAUUUUAAAACUCACAUCUUACUUAGAUGCUAAGUUUGAGGAUUAGAUUCUAAAUAUAAGACAGACAAGUCAUUAGAUAAAUUAAUUAGCUGAGAAUCAUACAUCAAUUCAUUUUUCUCAUUUGCUACCACUGUCAUACCACCCUUCUUAGGGACAACAUGGACCGGACUGACCCAUGAACUAUCAGAGAUUGGGUAGAUCAUACCAGCUUCUAGGAGUUUCAGCACCUCCUUCUUUACCACUUCCUUCAUUGUUGGAUUCAGCCUUCUUUGAGGUUGAACCACUGGCUUAUACUCAACUUUUAAAUGAAUUUUAUGCAUGUAAUAGGCUGGACUUAUAACUUUUAAAUCAGAGAUCUGCCAGCCCAAUGCUCCUUGAUUUUCCCUUAAAACCCUCAUUAAUUUUUCUUCUUCAAGGGCUGAUAAGGAAUUGUUAAUGAUGGCUGGCUUCGAGGCAUCUUCACUUAGGAAAACAUAUUUCGAAUGAGAAGGAAGUUCUUUCAAUUCAGGAAUUUUUGUUGUUUUCUCUUAACCUUUGACUUGAUUUAGAGUCUCUUUUGACAAAAUAUCCCUUUUCAUCAACCACGUCCACUCGGUAACAUUGUGGAUUUUCAUUUCUAUAUUUCUAUGCUUCAUAACUUCGAAAAUGUUGAAUAUCACUUGCUCAUUUUGAAAACGCGACAUCAAUUCUCCUCUUUCCACAUCAAUAAGUGCCCUGCCAGUUGCUAGAAAAGGUAUCCCUAACAACACAAGCAUCUCUUCAUCAUCAGCCAUGUCCAAUAUCACGAAAUCAGCUGGAAAUACCAAGUCAUUCACUCUCACUAGAACAUCUUCCAGCACUCUGUAAGGAUAUGAGUUUGACCGAUCAGCUAGAGUGAGAGUCAUUCUUGUAGGUUUUGGUUCCCCACAUUUUAAUUUCUUCAUCAUGGAGAGAGGCAUCAGAUUUAUGCUUGCUCCCAAAUCACAAAGAGCUCUUCCCAUACUGACCUUCCCAAUGGUACAAGGAAUCGUAAACGCUCCAGGGUCUUUCAAUUUAGGAGGGAGCUUUCGUUGGAGGAUGGCACUACAAUUCUCAGAUAAGGCUAUAUUUUCAUCAUCUUUAGGCCUCCUUCUUCCGGUUAAUAAAUCUUUCAUGAAUUUAGCAUACACCGACAUUUGAUCAAGAGCUUCACUAAAAGGUAUGUUAACUUGCAGCUGAGAGAAUAGUUCCAUGAACUUCGUGAAUUGCCUUUCCUCCUUCUUCUUCUUUUUAGACAAAUGAGAAUAAGGAAGCUUCACAUAUGAUGGAAUCUCUUGUGGUUUGUCUCCAUCUUUCAACAAUUGGCUCUUAGACUUCCUCAAUAUUGAAUUCACAUCUAUUAAAGGCUCACUUUUUUCUCCCUCAUCAUUUUUUUUCUUCCUUUCAUUUUCAACUACACCAUGAUCACUCUCUUUUUCAACUACAACAUCCUCAACAUUCUUUUCAACUACACCAUUAUUAACUUCCUCCACUACUACUUCAUCACCCUUCUUUGUAGCUUUUGGAACUAAAGAUGUUAAAAUCUUUUUGCUCCUCAACUCAAUAGCAUUGCAAGUCUCAUUCUUAGGGUUUUAUUUAGUGUUUACAUGUGAAUCCUCCCUUAGUUUGAUCAACCAACUGCUUUGCUAUCUGCCCAAUUUGGGUUUCAAACAUUUUUCUUGAAGCCUCGUUAUUCUUUCUUUUAGUUUCUUGACUCUUCUUAAUCUCUUCAAAGUUUUAUUGAGUUAUCUUCAUGAAAUUAGUCAUUGCUUCCUCAAGACCUGAAGGUUUUCUUUGCUGUUGUUAAGGGUUAGGUAGCAGAGGGUUCAAGGUGUUGUUAUUUGUGUACUUUAGGUUGGGAUGAUUUAGCCAACCUGGGUUGUAGGUGUUAGAAUAAGGGUGGACCUUUGGAUAAUUUCUCAAGUAAUUGGCUUCUUCACUCACUCCUUCUGGUUCACAUUCACCAUUUGCACGCCCCUCAGCACAGAAAACACACCUGAUUGCAGCUACUUGUUGAGUUUGUUUGGCCAUGGUCAACCCUUGGACAUGCUUGGUUAAAGCUUCUAACUGUUUGUUGAUUGCUGCUUGGUUAGCUAGGAUGGUGGUAUUGUCACUAACCCCAAAAACGCCCCUUUUCUUUUUCUCCGCAUCAACACGGUAUUCAUUUUGGACCAUGUUUUCUAAUAUGGUUUGGACUUCAUGGUUAGUUUUAACUCUCAGACUAUCACCAACUGAAGCAUCUAAAAACAUCCUAUUGUUGUGUUAACCUCUCAGUGAAAAUUUAGAGGAAUUGUUUGUCAGAAAACUCAUGGCCAGGAUACCUUUUAAGCUGCAGUUUAAACCACUCCCAAACGUCAUAAAGUGACUCGUUCUCCCCUUGCCUGAAGUUUGAUAUCUCAUGUUUCUUCUCCCAAUAUUUGGACACAGGGAAAAAUCUCUCUAAGAAUUUCAGUUCCAACUCAUCCCAUGUUUGAAUAAUUCCACUCGGAAUGGUUCGCAACCAAUCUUUGGCUUUUCCAACUAAGGUGGAGGCAAAAAACCUAAGUUUCGUUUGGUCAUCAGUCAAAGUGGUUGGGGGUACACAAAACUCACAUGUUUCAAAGAAAUGACUCAAGUGUUCAUGAGGGCUCAUGCUAUCUGACCCAUCAUAUUAUCUGUCGUUCAACCCAUUUUGAAUGGAUGUUUUGAUAUUAAAAUCUACUGGAUUUGCUAGUUGAAAGACAUGAGUUAGACGACCGCGGUAAGCAGAUAAACCAUAGUCUCCCAACUUAGGUCUCGGUGGUGGAUCAACAUCUCCCAUUGUGUUAAAUUUAGGAGAAAUGAUUGAUUCAAGUUCAGAAGGUGUUGGACUUGUAUAUCGUGUUCUUGGACUAGGUGGAAUAGACUUUGACAAUCGGACAACUUUCCGAUUUGCUCUUGCAGUCCUCUCAAUUUCAGAGUCAAAAAAUAGAUCAUUAGAACGUCCUCUACCUCGCAUAAACAGCAAAAUACCUUAGUAGCACUGCACGAUACAAAAUUAAAUAGUGAAUACUGAAACAAUAUAAAAAAUUUAAUAGAAAAAUAAAUUGCAGAAAUUUAAAUUGCAGAAAUCCUUAUUAAUAACGAUAUUGCCUUGUUGAAAUAAUUCAACAGUCCCCGACAACGGCACCAAAAACUUGAUAGAUAUUUGGAAAGUGUACCAAAAACUAUUGAAGUAGUAAAUAAAAGAUCGUAUCCACGAGGACUGUAUUUAACUUCUACUUAGAAAUUUCAUUAUUAAAAAGGAUGUAGUAAAUUCAAGGGUGCCCUAGGCAGUUGGGUUGACUUGUGUAACACAAACGUAAUAAAACAAUAAAAGUUGGUUUAUAGAAAAUUGAUGUGAGAUGAAUGAUUAAGCCGAUGAAUCCGCUAUUGUUUUACAUGAAUCGUUUUCCACCCUUUACUCUCAAUAACUAUUCGUUCUUUAAGACAAAUUAACUAAAUAGUUUUGAUCAAUCUCUUGACUCAAAACCCUUUCCUAAGUUAUAACCUUUUAAUCUCUUAAACCGAUUGAAUAACUGCGAAAGCAAUUUCUGAACGUUAAUUCCUGAGUUCGUAACUUCCUAUCUCUAGUUUCAUAUGUAAAGUUAAACAGAAUUACUAUUUCAGGAUUAAAAGAUAGGGUUAAUAGUCAAUUAAUUCCUAAGAUCAAUUAAUAUGAUUGAAGAAGUUAGGGUUAAUAGUCAUACAAACAAUCAUAAGAAAAGCAAUGAACACAAAUAAUUUUGAAUAAAGACUGCAUAAUAUUGAUAAUAAAGAGUUUCAACCACUGAUUCACAUAUUACCAUAGGUUCAUCAUGUUUCAAUCAAUCUAAGAGUUUAGCUACUCAUAACUAAACAAUUAUAAACAUAGACAAGAGUAAACAUACAUAAAUCUGGACCAACUAUGAGUUGGUAUGAGAUUAAGGGCUUGUUCUUCGGUCUCCUAGUGCUUUCUAUGCUCAAAAUCACAGUCCAAAUCGUCGCCUUAAAUCCUAAGCCGCAUCUGGCUUUUAUAGACAAAAAUUAGGGUUUCAUGAAAGGCCAUCAUCGUGGCAUGUUUCGAGACCUCGUGGCACAAUCACUUCAUUAAUUUGACGUGGCAGCAAAUUCAACAGACCAUCUGACACGUUUCGUGGUCCAUCGUGCCACAAAAAUUCUAGUACGCAUCAGUGAAUUCCACAUCCUUGUAAUGUGCCGCGAUGAAUCCCAACGUGGCACGAUUUCUUCAGUAUUCUUCUUCAACUUCCUUUUUUGUGCUCUUGUCCAUUCUUUAUAUGAUUUAACCAUGGAUUACAAGUAAUUGACUCUCUGUAUGCCAUAAAACGACAUAAAAAUGACCAAAAUACUAGUGCUGACGUGCAGUCAUCAGCCUUCUUCACUCUUUAAAAAUGGAAAUCUCCAGUGGCAUGCACAAUGUUACCUUAGAAAUGGAUAGUAAGACUUUGGUGGACGCUCUUUCAGCUCGCAAUAUUCCCUCCAAUGAUUUUGGUGGAAGAGCCUCUUAUAUAGUAAUCCCAACUACAUAGUGUCGUUUGUUUGGAGGCAAGCAAAUAAGGUAGCUCAUAAGAUAGCUAGAGUUGCCUUAUCACACCCUAGCCCCCAUGAUUUUCAGGAAGCCUCUUAUACAUUGUACCUUGAUCUUUAAUGAAAUGCAGUAAUUUUAAUUUGUUUAAAAAAAAAACAUAAUAUCAAUUAUGUUGUCCUCGCGAGCUUAGCUCAGUUGAUAUGGACAAUGCAUAAUAUAUGGAAGGCCUAUUGAAUCAUCUGGUCCCUUAACUUAAUUGAUAUUAUCAAUUUGAUCCCCUAACUAUAAUUUGUUCCAAUUUGGUCCCCUAUGUUUUGCUUCAUUACUAGUUUUAGUCCUUUCUAUUAGUUUCUCUAAAAAAAAACGUUAAUUUAUGUACCAAUUUGGUCCCCUAUGUUUUGCUUUGUUAUUAGUUUUAGUCAUUUUUGUUAACGUUUUUUUUUUUUUUGAGAGAAACUAACAGAAAUGACUAAAACUAGUAACGGAGCAAAACAUAGAUAACUAAAUUGAUACAAAUUAUAGUUAGGGGAUCAAAUUGAGACAAUCAAUUAAAUUAAAGGACCGGGUGAUUGAAUAAGCUUAUAUGAUCUCCGGGGUUUGAACCCUCUCCACCACCCAAAAAAAAAUUCUAAUUUUUUUUUUCAAUAUUCAAACGCUUACCGCUCAGGCUAAAGCCCAUUAAAAAUAUAUCCUUUUAAAAAACAUGACACAAUCAAACACAAACAAUCGAUUUUUUUAAUGAUAUAACGAAGAUUAUCAUACCAAUCAUUCAAUUAUGGCGGAACUUCAAACAAAACAACCGAAGAUUAUUGAACCAUCAUAAAAUAAAAGUCAACAAUAAACAAUCAAAAACAUGAGGAGAGACAACAAAUUUAUGUUUUCAAACCAAUUAAAGUUUUAACAUUCUGUUUCUAAACAAUCACAUUUUCAGUUAAGGUUUCAAUUCAUUCAACAAAGGUAUUAAAGUGUGCAGUUAAGGUAUCAAAAAGUUUUGCCUCCAUUUGUUGGAUUUCACAGACUUGUGUGUUCCAUGUCAAUAACAAGAGUCUAAUGCAGAUCUUUAUACAGUUACGGAUGCUCCAACAUGUUGACUUGUGAAUGAUCUUACAAGUUCUUACUACUCCUAUAGGUUCACCUAUUAGAGCAGCAAAAGAUGAACCUACAAUAGCAGCAAUAUGACUUGCAAGAGCAACCACAUGUGGAGUGUCAUAGUAGCCUCAAUUGAAUAAAGAUCUACAAAAGUCCCAAGUUACCGACAAGAAACAAUCAAACAUUGUUAUUGAAUCCAAAUAAAUGGAGGAUAGACUUUCUACUAAGAUGUUAUUUUAGACCUUAGAUCGAUGCACCCUUGAUCAGACACCUAAACAAAUUGAAACCGUCAACAAAAAGGUGGCUUGUUUAGUAAAGGAUGUUGAAAUUUUAAUUGGUCUGAAAGAAAAUAUUCUCUUUGGUCCCUCCUCUUGAAUGUUUUUGCUUGAAGUUCUGAUAUUGCUUGAAUAUUUUCUGUCAGAACUUCAAGCAAUUUAAUUUAUGGUUCAACGUUCUUCAAUGUUUUUGCUUGAAGUUCUGACAUUGCUGAAGAUUUGUUUGGUCUUCUUCGAUGGUCUUUUAAAAAAAAUGUUUGUUUUAUGUUUGAUAUAACGUUAACAAUAUGAAUUCAAAUAGAAGAAGAAAAACAAUGAAAAUUGCCACUCUGAAGAAGAAUCACGCCGAAAAACAUAAAACUUUGAUCACAUUUUUAAACAAUUGAAAAAUCGAUAGUAGAAUAGUGUCAAAACGCAAUUCAAGAAUGAUCGAAACAAGCUCUAGAUAUUAUGUUAACACUAUGGAUUCACAAGAGAAGAAGAUAGAAUAAUGCAAUUUAUGCAAAGAUACACUAUACAUGUCAGCUUUAUUCCCUUCCUAUUCCAAUUUUUCAUCCUCUUUAGAUUCAAAAUUGAAAAAUCAUUCAACUUAAAAAGUAAAAUUUCCCUGAAUUCAACAUGUUCCUUUCCUCUUAAAUAUAAGCAACAAAUUUUAAAUUUAUGUUUGAUAGUCUAAAAUAUAAUCAAAUAUUAACUACUUCAAUCAUAUUUAAUGUUGCUUUUCCUAAUUGCCCUUCAAUUUAUUUAGAUUUUAUUUUCCAAUAACCAUUUUAUUUCAAUGGAAGAAGUUCCUCAAGGAGUAAUUUAUUGGAAAAUAUGCAAUUACUUUUUUUAUUAAAUUUUAGAAAAUUUGAUGAAUCAAACUACUUAAGGAGAUUGAGAAUAAUUGAAGUCCCAACAACAAAAAUUCGUAUGCACCAUAUUCUAUUUACUCCUGAAAACCCAAAGCAGAACAAAUGUCAACAAGAAAAAAUAACAAAAUCCAUAAAAUGUACAAAACCAAAAUUAAGUUAAGAACCAACAAAUGAUUUCAUUGUUCUGGUAUAAUGAUUUUUUUUUUAACUCCUCCCCUCUCAACAUUUUUUUCUUCUUCAAUGGCUCUCUCUUGGUAUUCUCCAACCAAAACUAUUGAUGUUAUCCCUCCCAUACUGCUUGUUUAUAUAAGGGAUGCUGCAAAAUUGAUGGUACAUAGUGCACAUGGAACAAUAUAUGCAUGAGAAGGAAACUAACAUAAAGAAGGUUUUGGUUGACACUUAAAAUAGCAAACCCCUCAAGGUAUUGUUGCAUUUUUUUUUCUUCAUGUUUUUAUAUUCUCAUUUGUUAUUUUGUGUUAUCUAAUUUUUUAUUGAAAAGGCAAAACUUAUUAAAACCACUAACCCAAACACAAGGAGGACAAAGCUCACCAUUAUACAAAGUUACAAACAGCACUCUCCAGAGUCCAACUCCUGAAAAAGAAAUAUGGACAUUAUGUAUUUUUUAUGUAGUUUUCAUAUUAAUUUUUGCAUAUCGAAGAUUAUAAAAUAUAUGAAUGGAAGAAAAUGAAAACAUAAUACAUAAAAUACGACUAAAAAAGGGACCACUGCUACUAUCAUGAAUAAUUCUAAAUCAAAUCAAUCAUUAAUGUUGCUUGUUAAGUUGAAGUGAAGUUAUCUAUUCAAUUAAUACUUAUUGAAUUAAUUGUACCUUAUGAUAGUGUGGCCAAAUGGAUGAAUUUGGAUUGUAAUGGAUAAAUCAAUGUCCUCACUUAUGCUAUGAGUUGUUUUCUUUACUUCCUUCAAGUGUUGUGUGAGAAACUUGAGAGGUUAUCAGUAAUCUCUGAUGGAGUACAAAAGAUAAAGAGAUGAAAACUAUUUUCCAAUCAAAAGAUAAUGGUGAGAUGAGAUGUUGAAUUUCCAUGAAAGUUAUGUUGCCGAAACAAGCUACUAAUCCAAAUUCCCUUAUUGCAAGCCGUUUGAAAAAUAAAUAUUUUCAUGCCAAAGAGUAGUUAGAUGCUCUUGUUGUUAACGAAUUAAUUGGUCUCAAAUGGUUAAAUAAUUUCAUUAAAGACGAAUUGUUUAAGAUAAUUCAAAAUCAAAUAAUUCUUGAUCAGACUUUAAUCACCUCCCGACCGAACUUCAUAGUUCAUAUUACUAGAGUCUCUUUCCUCUGAAAACCGAAGAGUUAACACAAAAAAGAAAUCUCGAAAUGGAUUUAUGUAACUAUACUUGGAAAGGUAUACAUCAUGCUAAGCUAUUGGAAAAUUGGCAAUGGUUGCCUUGUCGAAACUGUUAGGGUUAAGUAGUUUGUUAAUAUGCAAGCUUAAUCAUGUUUUAGUGUUUUUAGAGUUUGUCUUUGCACAGUUGCUUCUGGUGCAAGCUAGCUUAGUUGUUUUGUUACCUUGUCUAUAAAUAGGUGACUACUACUUGUAUUUCACAACUUGAAUAAUGAAAAACACUUUUCUCUUUAUAAUUGGUAUCUAGAGCUUGGGUUAAGGGCUUGUAGAACAAAUCACAAAGCGCAGCUUUUGGCGGGAAAAGUUUGUUACAGUUUGUUUUGCAUAUUCUUCUUUAUUCAUCUUCCUCCUUUCUAAGCUUUCAUCCAUGGCGGAUUCUGCAAAUUUCGCUCAACCUUCUAUUUCAAAGUUUGAUGGAUUCUAUGAUCAUUGGUCCAUGCUUAUGCAAAAUCUCCUUCGUUCCAAAGAGUAUUGGGACUUAGUUGAAACUGGAAUUACAAUUGCUCCUGAAAAUCCAACACCAGAACAAGAAAAAGCUGCAAAGGAUAGUAAACUUCUUGAUCUAAAGGUAAAAAAACUAUCUUUUUCAAUCCAUUGAUAGAAAAAUCAUGGAAACCAUUCUGGUUAAAGAUUCAACAAAGGAUAUUUGGGAUGCUAUGCGUAGAAAGUAUCAAGGUUCUACGAAGGUGAAAUGUGCUCAAUUGCAAUCUUUACGCAAGGAAUUUGAGAUUCUUGCAAUGAAAGAAGGUGAAACCAUAGACGAUUACUUCACAAGAACUCUCUCUAUUGCAAAUAAAAUGAUUGCACAUGGUGAGAAGAUGGAUCAAACGCUGGUUGUUGAAAAGAUUCUGAGAUCUUUAACAAGUAAAUUCAAUUAUGUGGUGUGUUCCAUUGAAGAAUCAAAUGACGUCACUACGCUAUCAAUUGAUGAGUUGCAGAGUAGUUUACUUGUUCAAGAACAACGCAUGAAAUCUCAGAAUCAAGACUUUGAUGUUGAACAAGCUUUGAAGGUCUUCAAUGGCGAAAUAGGUUAUGUAGGGUAUGAUAGAGGAAGGGGCAGAGGAAGAAUCAACAAAGCAAGUGUUGAGUGUUUCAAGUGUCACAAGCUGGGACACUAUCAGAAUGAGUGUCCUCUAUGGGAAGAAAAUGCUAACUUUGCUGAGUUUGAAGAUGGUGAAUUACUUCUUAUGGCUCAAUCUUGCUUGAACACAAACGCCAAAGAUGAGGUAUGGUUUCUUGAUUUUGGCUGUUCAAAUCAUAUGAUAGGAACAAAUGAGUGGCUAUUUGAUUUUGAUAGUGAGUUUAGAGAAUCAAUGAAGCUAGGUGAUGAUUCUAGAAUGCCUGUUAUGGGAAGAGGAAACUUGAAAUUGCUUAUUGGUGGCAUGAUUCAAGUCAUAAAAAAAUGUGUAUUUUCUUCCUGGACUUAGAAACAAUUUUCUUAGUAUUGGACAACUUCAGCAGAAGAAUCUAACAAUUGUUUUUAAGAAAGAUACUUGCAAAGUAUAUCAUGAGGAGAGGGGUUUGAUAAUGUCAACACAGAUGAGCACCAAUAGAAUGUUUAUCAUCUCUGCACCAGUUAUUGUUCCUGAAUGUUUGAAAAUUGAGAUAUGUGAAGAUGCUAAGAUAUGGCAUCAAAGAUAUGGACAUCUUAGCUGGAAGGGUUUGAAAAUUCUGAUUAAGAAGGAAAUGGUGAGGGAUUUACCUGUUUUACAGGAGAUUGAAGCAAAAUGCAAAGAUUGCUUGUUGGGGAAGCAACACAGGGAAACUAUUCCUAAGAAAGCACAAUGGAAAGCUUCAUAAAAGCUUGAAUUGAUUCACUCUGAUCUUUGUGGCCUUAUCACAUCUGGUUCCAACUCUGGUAUUAGAUACUUCAUAACUUUCACAGAUGACUUCAGUAGAAAGACUUGGACAUACAUAUUAAAAGAGAAAUCAAAGGCAUUUGAAACAUUCAAAUUGUUCAAAGUCUUAGUUGAAAAAGAAUAUGGAUGUUUAAUCAAAUGCUUAAGAUCAGACAGAGGUGGAGAGUAUACUUCUACAGAGUUCAAUGAGUUUUGCAGCUCAAAUGGAAUCAAAAGACAACUGACCAUUGCUUACACACCUCAGCAAAAUGGUGUUUCAUAAAGAAAGAAUAGAACUUUGAUGAAUAUGGUAAGAAGUAUGCUUCCAGCUAGAGAUGUUCCAAAGGUUUUCUGGCUAGAAGCAGUUGUAUGGGCCACUCAUGUGUUAAAUAGAAGCCCUACAUUGUCAGUCAAAGAUAUAACUUAGAGGAAGCAUGGAGUGGUGUGAAACCUACAGUUCAACACUUUAGAGUUUUUGGAUGCAUUUCCUAUACUCAUAUACGAGACAUUCAGAGAAAGAAGCUAGAUGACAAAAGUACCAUAUGUAUUCUACUUGGUUUGAGUGAAGAAUCAAAAGCUUAUAAGUUGUAUGACCCCAAGAAUAAGAAAGUGGUAAUUAGCAGGGAUGUUGUAUUUGAAGAAACACAAGGAUGGAACUGGAAUGGGAAUGAAAACACUCAAUCAAGUUCAACCUUGAUAGAUGAUGAUGUGAUAGAAUUUACAACUGAUGAGCCAGUAAAUCAAACUGAACCUGAAUGACUGGUAUUGAUGAUAAAAAUGGGAAUGACACUUCAGAUCAUGGGAAUGAUACCUCUGAUCAUGAAGAAGAGAUAGAUGUUGAGUCACCAGAUGAAGUUGAACUUUCCCCUAGAACAAGAAAUCCACCAGGUUACUUAAAAGAUUAUGUGAUUGGUAGAGAAGCUGAAGAAGAUAAGCUGCAAAAUAGAUUCGCUUUGUUCAAUACUUCAUCUAAUCCAAAUACAUUUGAGGAAGCAUCAAAGAUGAAGAUGUUGAGAGAAGCUAUGAAACAAGAAAUUGACUCAAUAGAAAGUUACAACACUUGGGAACUUACUGAUUUACCAGCAGGUUGCAAGAAGAUAGGAGUUAAAUGGAUUUACAAAACUAAGCUGAACGAAAAAGGGGAAUUUAGAAGCACAAAGCCAGAUUGGUUGCUAAGGGAUAUGCUCAAAAGCUUGGAUUUGACUACAAUGAAGUGUUUGCACCAGUAGCAAGAUGGGACACCAUCAGAACUCUUCUAGCAAUUGCAGCUUGCAAAGGUUGGAACGUGUAUCAGCUUGAUGUCAAGAGUGCUUUUCUGCAUGGAGAGUUAAUUGAAGAUGUGUAUGUGGAGCAACCUUUAGGUUACAAAAAGGAAGAUACAAGCAAGGUGUAUAAACUGAAGAAGGAUUUGUAUGGAUUAAGACAGGCACCAAGAGCAUGGUAUAGUAAAAUAAAAUCCUACUUUGCUCAAGAAAAUUUUGAGAAAUGUUCACAUGAACAUACUUUAUUUGUGAAAAACAUCUCUGAUGGAAGAAUACUUAUAGUUAGCUUGUAUGUAGAUGAUCUAAUCUACACUGGAGAUGACAUUUAGAUGUUUGAAUCAUUCAAACACUCAAUUUAAAAGAAUUUUGCUAUGACUGAUUUGGGAAAAAUGAGAUACUUCUUUGGAGUAGAAGUAAAGUAGUGUGAUGAGGGAAUCUUUAUUAGCCAAUGUAAAUACUCUUCUGAAAUCUUAGAGAGGUUUGGUAUGGAGAACUGCAAUAUAGUGUGUAAUCUUAUAGUGACUGGAACUAAACUGGUGAAAGAUGAGAAUGCUAAAGCAACAGAUGCAAGCAAAUUCAAACAAAUGGUUGGCUGCUUAAUGUAUAUGCUUGCUACUAGACCAGAUUUAGAAUAUUCAGUAUGCCUGGUUGCUAGAUACAUGGAGAGACCUACUGAAAUGCACUCGCAACCAUCAAAAGAAUUCUAAGAUAUUUGAAAGGAACUGCUAGCUAUGGAAUACUCUAUAAGAGAAGAGGUGAAAUUGACUGGUUGGUUAGAUUCAGAUUAUGCAGGUGACAUUGAUGACAGGAAAAGUACUUCAGGCUAUGUGUACAUGAUUUGUGAUAGUACAAUAGCUUGGUCAUCUAAAAAGCAACCUAUAGUUACUCUCUCCACUACUGAAGCAGAAUAUGUUGCAGCAGCUUCAUGUUCAUGUCAGGGAAUUUGGUUAAGAAGAAUCUUGCACCACUUGAAUGAGGAACAGAAAGAAGUAUCAACAAUAUACUUUGACAAUAGCUCAUCAAUAAAGCUAUCUAAGAAUCCAGUCAUGCAUGGUAGAUGCAAACAUAUAGAUGUCAGGUUUCACUUCCUAAGAGACUUAACUAAAGAUGGAAUCAUGGAAUUGAAGCUUUGCAACUCACAAGAUCAACUAGCUGACAUUAUGACAAAGCCACCGAAGUUGGAAGCAUUUGGCAAACUGAGAUCUAAGCUUGGCAUUAUGGAUAGCUUGAAAGAACCAAACUAACUCCUUGUAUAAACUGUUUUAGAGACUGCUCAGUUUAAGGGAGGGAUUGUUAUGGUUAAGUAGUUUGUUAAUAUGCAAGCUUAAUCAUGUUUUAGUGUUUUUAGAGUUAGUCUUUGCACAUUUGCUUGUGGUGCAAACUAGCUUAGUUGUUUUGUUACCUUGUCUAUAAAUAGGUGACUAUUACUUGUAUUUCACAACUUGAAUAAUGAAAAACACUUUUCUCUUUAAUUUAAAAAAGAGAUUUAAAUGUUGGAACCAUAGCUUAAUUGACCCUACUCUUCUCCCUUUUAAAGGUGCUUAACAUUCAAGUGGAUGAUCUGAACAUGUGAUGGGUACUACUACUCAUGGUAAUUAUAGUGUAAAGUAUGCUACCAUUGCACAACGCUAUAAGUGGCAUAAUUUGCUCUUUUUUCUUCCCUAAAUGCUUAAACACUAAAACUAUUGUCCAUAGUUUUAGCAAGUGUGAUCAAGCAACCAAUAUUUGGUUUGGGUCCCCCCAUUAUUAUAAAACUCACAUCUUGCUUAGAUGUUAAGUUAUCAUUAGAUAAAGUAAUCAGCUGAGAAUCAAACAUCAAAAUAACAAAACCAUCUCUCAAAACCAAAUCAUUGAGUAUUAUUAUAUUUGAAGUGUCUUGUAAACAUUCAAAAUCAAUCACAAGAUCCAUAACUCAAAUCAUAAAAAAACAGAAAAACAAAAAACAAACCACACUUAUUUCAAUAACAUAAAUCAAACUAAAAACAAAACAAAAGACACUCCAACUUCAGCACACAAUUUCCCAGCAGCUUCAAACUAUAAAAACCCAAGUCUCUCAAAAACCAUGAAUCUUGAUCUGAUCCUUCCUCACAAGACCGGCUUGAACCAAAAACUGAGAAACCUUCUUCCUCUGAUCACCUUGUAGUUGGAUAAUUUUACCAAGUUCUUUAUCCUGCACAACAUUCCCGUUGCAACAGAACUCUUUCUUAAGAUCCUUGAGAAUUUUCUCGUAGCUGUAAUCUUUUUUCAGCCCUUGAACAGUUGUUAAGCUCUUUUUUCCAUUUCUUUGCUGAAUGCGUAUAUGAACAUACUCUUUUCCUCCGGGGGCAUCCGAUUCUAUGGCGUCAGCGAAUGGAUCGAAAGCAGUUGGGAUCUGGAUGUCCAACUCAACCAUGUACUUUGCUUGAUUUGAACUUCGGAACACGGACAAUGAAAGCAACUGCAAGGUAACAAAAACAUGUUUAGAUAAGAAACAAAAAUUUCACCAUACAUGAAAGCUUUACAAAAGAAUUCAUAUUAAUUCUUGUACAUGAAUCUAAGCUAGUUUAUGACAUACAAGAAAUCAUAUUAUAUGUGUCGGACACAGACACCACCGGACACAAAACAGACUCUCACUCGCCAUCAUCGUUAACAUAUUAUAUGUGUCGGUGUGUCAGACUGACACGACACUCAAAAGAAAAUAAACUCAAACCAAUUUAUAAAAAGAAAAUUUGUGGCAUAAUUAAGACAGAAAAUUCCAUCAAGCUUUCAAUAAAAAUUUGAAUAGAAAUUUGAAUUGAUUUCAUUAAAACCCUAAAAUUCUACGAAACAAAGGAUCAAAGACAGAUUAACACAUGAUCAUUGGAUGAUAUAUGAACAAAAACCCUAAAAUUCUAAGAUACAAAAUCAUUAACCAAAGAAAAAAAAAAAGGAAAACACGACAACGUUAGACAGAUCAUGAUCAUCCAUGUAACAUGUUUCUCAAACCUA
rnacentral:lncRNA from 1 species